rnacentral:lncRNA from 1 species
CAACAAUGUUAAAAAGUAGGUUGUUUUGCUUAAUUAGUUGUGACUAAAACAAAAUUAUAGAGUAUAUCUUUAUGUGGUUAUUAGCCAGUUAAUUCCGUUCAUUUAAGAUAAUACAUUGUGUCACUCCGUGACUAUUCGAGCUUAUAUGCAUUUGAUAUGCGCGACAAGAUGAACCAUGAUAUGGAUCAUGUUUAUAGAUUCACAUGUAUAUGAUGAAGCCUAUAGGAAAAAUUUCUAAGGAAUCUAGCUAAUGACAAUAAUUUGAUAUUCUAGAUGAUGACAUAUUGAUGUUUCUUAUAUGCACUUAAUUGUUUAUUCUAUUGGUCCCUUAUCCGUAUGGAGUGCUCAGACAUUAUAGGGUUUCAAAAUGAGUGUCAAAAUUACGGCGAAACAUUGACUAAAUUUUGUUUUGCCACAUUUCUGGCACUUGAUCUUUCAUUUUUAUCAGAAGUUAUGCCCAAUUUUUCGUCGAUCCAUACUUUUUAAUGUUUAUUUUAUCGACGUGUUGAAUGUACUAUGUAUAAAUGAUGCCAUUAAACUAUGUGAUUUCUAUUUGAUUUCUUCUGCUACUUAAAUGUUAUAUAGUGUAUUUAUACGUGUUUGUUCUAAUUCUUGUUGGUUUAGAUUAACGACACAACAAUGUCAAAACUAUGUUAUUUCUAUUUCAUUUCUAAACAUUAAUAUAAGGAAUGAACCAAGAAUGGACUUGGUGUGGCGGCAACAGGCUAGGUGCCUGCCACAGGUGCACCUUCAAUGCAAUGAAAUAGAAAUAGAUCUUCAGGAGGACUUUCUUGAGUGGUUGGUAUGUGUUAAUUCAACUUGUGUUGUGGCUAAUGAGUUGCUCACGUUUAUAAAGUUGCACACCAAAAUGACUAAUUGUUGUUUUCUUUCAAUUAUGCACAGUGCGUCCCUUGUUGGGGAAGGGCAGACUUCACGCAUAGGGAAAAACUACCUAUAGAAGAGGAGGGCACAUUUGAGGUCAAGAUGGCCUUGUUAAAAAAGGGCAUAGCCUUGGUCACCAACUAGGCACACCGAACGUACUUCAGUGGUUCUAGUUGGAUACAUAUUGCAACAUAAAUGAAGAUGGAAGCUGGGAGGGCGUGCAUGUUGUUUCUUGGCAAAGUAAAUGAUACCGAUGACAUCUAUUUGUGGUACAAUAUCUCGCAGUCACCAUUGUUGUUUCUUGGUAUUGAUCCCGUCGUACUAUCAUUUCGUUGAACAUACAUGUUGUAUGCGGUUAAUGUAAUUUUAUUUGAAAGCGUUAAGCAAUAAAUGUAUGUUCUUAAAGUGUGCUAUAUAUGCGGAAAUUACUUUUGGAGGCCGAGCUCCAUGAAGGCCUCCAAAUGCAAAAUUCAAAAUUCAAAAUUCACAUUUUUACAGUUCAAAAAAUUCUAAAAAAAAUACAGAGAUAGAUGAAGGCAAAGUGCACAAGUAUGUAAAUUUUCAGGAUGAAAUACGUUGAAAUGAGGGCUGUGCAAAAAAGACAAAUCUGAGGCUUUUUAACAAAUGAUACUAUUCAUCCUCCUAGACCAUGAAUUAUUCUUCUUGUAAAGGUUGCAUUUCAAUGUAUUUCAUCCUGAAAUUUUACACACAUACGCCUCACAUCCUUAUUUACUCGUACAAAAAAUUUCAUUUUGAAACCGGAAUUUUGAAUUUUUUAAAAAACCGGCCUCCAUGGAGGCCAAGUGCCAAACGUCUGUUCUCCUAUAUACGACUCUGCAAGGAUAAUAUUACUAUUAAAAUUAAAACAGCCGUCACGGCAGUAAAAAACACUGCCGCGACAACUUUUAUUCUUUUGGCUUGGCAAAGUAUAUCACUGGUGCCCGCGACAGGUACUGAGAAUAACAGUGAUGGGCAACACGUCCGCCACUGAAGCCAUGUUAUCAGUGGCGGCCAUCAUUGAGAGACUUUUUUUGCGAAUACGCAUAGCUUGCGUAUCAUUUCAUUGAUAGAAGAAGUUAGAACGAGUACAAGAUGUGGUACAAUACAUGACACGAGCGCAAGGGUGUGAACAUGGUGUCCGGAGCAGAGAGACAUGAGAUGCUCGGCCCAAACAAAGAAAAAAAACACGACUAAACUCGCCAUCCUCAGAACUAGCCCAAACCAAUAACACGACGACCAACACCUCCAGAUCCAGAACCGAGGACACCGCGAGCAACCAAGACGACGCCUUCACGAAGGGGAACGACGCCGAGACGCCAUCACCGUCCGAUCCGGAUAACCGGACCUAGGGUUUCCCCUGAUGCUCGAAGAGGGGCACAAACAACAGUCGUGACAGCGCCUCCAAGAAGGGGACGGCACCCACGGGUGUCGCCUUUGCCAACAAAAGAUGCAGCGAUUUCGCCCUAGCCUGAGUCUGAGCAAUCCCAAGCCAUCGGAGCACGAAUAGGAGAAGAAGUUGGCAUAGGCCUGAACCACAACCACAAGAAUGGGAGCGACGCCGGGCGCGCGAGCAACAAAGCGACGGAGGGACAAACGGGGCACGGAGGUGGACGACUGGGCGGAAUGGGAAGCGGAGGAGAAUGUGAUGGUGGCCGGAGGCUCGAGCGAGCCAGGGUCCGGGUCACCGGGACCGAAGCAACACGGACGUUGACAAGUUCGAGGAGCCGGAAGGGGGUGCAGCUCCUAGAGCAAGCCGGAGUCGAAGAUGCACCGGGUUGGAUGGCCAACCAAGGCACCAGCUGGGUGUAGGUGCGAAGGCGCCGAGGCGUCGGCGAGCCAAGGGAGCCGGAAGGAGCACAGCUCCCGGGGGCGCCGGGCCCGGAGCAGCCCUUACCGGCCAUGGGCGUAGGAAGGAGUGCAGGUCCAUGUCCGUUGGGCAGGACUCGCCCCUGCCGGGGUGGGGUGGUGGUGGUGAGCACGCGCACAGCCGAAAUCCCGACAACGCCUCCAAGGCCGCCGCCCGAGGGGUCAGAAGCUCGCGAGGGAGGGGUGGGGGAGAGGAGCCGCAUUAUGGACGACGCACAACGCGAGGGCAGCCAGGGCAGCCGCCGUCGGCACCAAGGCGCAACCGAACCGCCGUACGAAGCUGCGACCUGCGUCCCCGGCCAGUAGCAGCAGAUGGGGGCUAUAUCCAUGAGGAGGAAGCAGGGGAGCAACUUGCACAGGAGGCAAGAGAAGUCGGACCGGCUGGGCGGGGAGCAGCCACCGGAGAAGACCGUCUCGAGCCGCACAAAAGUGGAUCUCGGGGCAGGGGUGGGUGGGGGACGCAACAGGAGGUACGUAUCUGCCCCGCCGCCACCAUCCCUGGGCUCGGCAAAGCUUCGCCGGCAAGCCCUCCAGCGGCUGCGAAGCGGGGAGGGGCGGAGGAUGUGCCUGGCGGCGGCGCUGGGUAGGGUUUCCCCCGUGUCGCCUGUGGUGGCGAUGCGGGGGCCGUCCGGGGAUAUUGAGAGUCUCGCCCGCAAGUGAUAGGCUUUUGGCACCCAUCACUGCAAGAGUGAAAUGAGUUUUGAACGGUGGAUGAGGGUGUGGGCUGGUAUCACGUUCUUUUUUAUAACAAUACUAGAACAAUGCCCGUGCAUUACAGCGGGAUAUAAAUAUUCUAGUAUGUUAGCUUGUGAUUUACCUGUUAAUAAUAAUGCGAUUGUGUGUAAAUGCUAAUCAAAUUCUGACCGUGGAGUACCUUAUAUUUUGAUUAGAAGUUUAAUAAGUAAACUAAAGUGAAAUUGGUUCAGAAGGUAAGUAAAUUAAGAUGAUUGGUUAUCAUAUACAUGAAACGUUGAACGAAUGGGUGGUGAGAAAAAUGAUGAAAUAAAAACCUUAAGUUCUUUUUAAGUGGUAGAGGUUAAGUAAUAGAGAUAUAUGCUGCAAGUUCGAGCAUAAGGAAAAGAAAAAUGGCGCUGAGAAGAAUGCACAGACGUGCCGAAUUAACAAACAAUUUAAAGCUGCUACUGUAGAGGAUUGAUGAGGUGAAAAUCUAUUUCACCUGCUAGAUAGCUAGGUUGGGAUAUGCUACCCCGCAUGCAUAGAGCGAAAGCAAUAUUGCAACGUUUCAGACCCGAGUCCUGUUGGGAGACGCAAGCUACGUAGGUGGCAACUACAUGGAAUUAGUAAUAAGGCCAAUAAAAUCAGGCAUGAACAGUUAGGUUAUGGAUCUAUCAGGCAUUAAUACUUCGUUUCAUACUGUAGAGGUGCCGCUCGGCUACGGAAUUGUAGAAAGUUCAGUUGCCUUAGGAGACGUUCCGGAGACCACUUUAGAUGUCGACUGGACUGUUUGAUUGCUACCCUACCCUGAGCGCAGAUGCAUGGUCUGCCUUUCCUUUGAUCUGCUGGAGGUAUCGUCUUUGAUAUCUCAGCCUGGGAGCUCUUGGCUACGCAGAGCUGUCGGACUCGGCCCUAGGAAAUCGGUGGCCUGAGCUUCUGCCUUGGUACACGUACAAUCACUGCUCUAUCUUGUAGAGUAUCAAACCGGCUCUUGGACUAGCCAUAAUGGAUAGUAACAUACACUACUAACAUACACAUAUUCCUAGACUAUGUUACUUGAGUAGUAACUUAAGUGUGGUAACAUGCAAAGAUUCAUUUAUUAGGUUAUAGACUCAUAUUGCAUUGAGGCAUGUGAUGUUACAGUAACUAGUUAAGUUACUACAACUAUCUCUCUCCUCAUUAACUCAUUGUCACAUAAGCAAAUUUGCUGAGUUGGACACGAUGUUACUGCUGAAGUUACUCCCACUGUGGCUAGUCUUAUAACGGAUUAGAGGAGUAAAAUUUGAUUUUAUUUCUCUAACAGACGUCUAGCCGAUCCCAAUCCAUCGUAAUGGAGGAUAAAUUAUCCUCAACCGCGUAUCUUUUCGCUAAANNNNNNNNNNNNNNNNNNNNNNNNNNNNNNNNNNNNNNNNNNNNNNNNNNNNNNNNNNNNNNNNNNNNNNNNNNNNNNNNNNNNNNNNNNNNNNNNNNNNNNNNNNNNNNNNNNNNNNNNNNNNNNNNNNNNNNNNNNNNNNNNNNNNNNNNNNNNNNNNNNNNNNNNNNNNNNNNNNNNNNNNNNNNNNNNNNNNNNNNNNNNNNNNNNNNNNNNNNNNNNNNNNNNNNNNNNNNNNNNNNNNNNNNNNNNNNNNNNNNNNNNNNNNNNNNNNNNNNNNNNNNNNNNNNNNNNNNNNNNNNNNNNNNNNNNNNNNNNNNNNNNNNNNNNNNNNNNNNGCCAUCCCUCCCACCCCCCGCUGGCACCCUCCCACCACCGCGGAUGCUCCGUAGGCUCCGUCGCGGUCCUUGACCACUUGGAUUUGUGCCUCGUUGUCCCGUCGCCGGCACAGAACUGGUGGAUUUGCGGCUGCUGUACCGUCGCCGCCGGAUUUGGCACUUCCGGCCGCCGGCGACUGUGCCUUGCUAUGGAUUGGCCGGGAAACGGACCACACAGCCCCGACAAUGCCUCCGCGCCGCAUGCUGGUAUUGACUCCGCCUCUAGCCAGAUAUAUAUAGGGGAUUGGAUUGGUCCAGCCAAAUCUUAGUGGAGUAAAAAUACUCCACAAAGGUUUUACUCCGCUGGAUACUCAGCUAUUUUUAGGGGAUUGGUUAGAAAUGCCUGUAGAUGGGUUCAAGAGUUCACAUAAUCGGAUCCAUGGAGGUGGAUGCACCCUGACACAACAGUACUUGUAGUCGUCGCUAUGUGGUCUACCAAUAUAGAUGUAAUUUUUAUUAUUUCUGAUGUUCGUUGUACUGCUAUGAUUAAAGGAAUAGAUUGGAAGUUUUCUUGAAAGAAAACGACGGCUAUAACCUCGGGAAAACAAUGGACCAAACACGGGAAGAAAAGAUCCAGCAUUUGCUGGCUUUUUAUUGAUUUAGCAUAGAGCAGAUGGAAACAUGGUGUGAUCAAGUGAUCAAAUGGGUGACAGAGGCAACAGAGAUAGAAAGGGGGUCCUUGCGCCCAAAAAUUAGCUACUCAGUCAUGGUUACAGUUCCAUGGGAGCAGCCAAACACUGUCUUGAAUAUGUGGAGCCAUGAGGCAGUUUCAGGGUCAGGGCAGCAACCAAGAAGUUCACACCACCAGUAACUUUUCUUCCCGCAAAAAAACAUAUAAAAAAACAAAGUAAAAGCAAAGAGACACAUGCCAAUUGCAAAGAGAUCGGGCGUACUUUCUAGCGGGUACAUGCACUUGCAGGGUGGAUCGACCUUCUCAAUUAACUCCACCAGCCAACGACCUGGCAGCGACCGGCAUCAAUUGCUCAAUCAAUCCUGCAUGUUCAUCGCUCCCCUAUUUAUACCCUCGAAACCACACCCUUUCCUCCACACCAUCACACUCCACUAGCUUAACCACACCGCCGACACUCAUCUGAUCACCCACUAGCUAGCUAGCAGCUUAAGGAACUUCCAGCUAGCGAUCGAUGGCUCGUCUCAACAGCAAGGCUGUGGUGUCCGCCGUGGUCCUGGCGGCGGUGGUGCUAAUGAUGGCCGGCAGGGAGGCGACGGCACUGUCGUGCGGGCAGGUGGACUCCAAGCUCGCGCCGUGCGUGUCGUACGUGACGGGGAAGGCGCCCUCGAUCAGCAAGGAGUGCUGCUCCGGUGUGCAGGGGCUGAACGGCCUGGCCCGCAGCAGCCCGGACCGCAAGAUAGCGUGCAGGUGCCUCAAGAGCCUCGCCACCAGCAUCAAGUCCAUCAACAUGGACAAGGUCUCCGGCGUGCCCGGCAAGUGCGGCGUCAGCGUGCCCUUCCCCAUCAGCAUGUCCACCAACUGCAACAAGUAUGUUCUAAUCUUUCGGUCUACUCAUCCAAAUGCAUGCAUUUUCAUCUUCUCGCGUAGCCGUCUAGUCCAGAUCUUGUGCAUAUUUCCAUAUCGUGCUACUCCAUAACCGUCUGUUUUCACGUUAUAAAAAACAAACGUUUUUUUACACCAGGCCAAACAGUUACUGUAGUUUUAAUCCAGCAUCCGAGCUACUAGUACAGAAGAGAAAAGGUUCUGCCAAUACAAACAAUAUGACCCCCCAAAAAAGAGGACAAAUACUAGAACAACUCAUGAGCAAACACGUACCUGCAUAGUUUUUCUUAAGAGCUAGGAAGUGAGUAUAUAGUAACAAAACAGUGAUAUUAAGUUCAUAUUGAAGAAAAACGGUCGAUCGUGUAUUUUAGCAUGUUACAUCUAACGUGAUUUUCUCUGACAUAAUAUAUAUGUCUUAUUCUUAUGCAGUGUCAACUAGUUCAAUAUAUAACCCUUCCGACGUGCAUGCAAGGACGCGCUUGUGUGGAGCUUAAUGUCUACGUUGAUGGAGUGCUCAUACGAUACUGAGCUACUAAAUAAUAAAAUGAAGUUGCUUGCGUGUGUUAUUUCAGUACUGUGUCACUGUGUGUCUGUGUCCAUGUCUGUACCUUGCGCACACACUGUGUGUGCAUAUAUAUUUAUGCGACAUGUAUGCAUGCGUCCGUAUGCGUGAGUGAACUGUCAACUCUUUGCUGUACUCUAGUGUAGCCGAUGUGUACGUGUGAUGUGCCUGACCUACUUGUUCAGGCAAUUAAUGAAUAGUAAUUAUUUUCCUAAUUAUUGACGUGCAUGGAUGUCCAGCUAUUGCACUAUCCAGCAGUAUGAUGGAGCAUUGUGCACUAUACGGAUGUUUUGAGCCAGAAGAUGCAUGCGUGCAAUACGCGCCGUGGCCACUUUUGUGUCCCAAAUGAACGAGAUCUCCACUAGUUUGGACUUUCUGUGUCGUGAUUUUGUACUCCACAACACAAUAUAGUGCUCCAAAUUAACUACGAGACGUUUUCCUUCUGAUAGGGAAAACACUCAAACAGAAAAACACACAAGAACUUGUUAAACAGAAACACACGCAAGAAACAAAGAAUGAAAACACAUGAAAAAAUUUAAAGCAGAAUUGGGAACCCCGAACGUCCGUAUAAUACUGUGAAGUGUGAGUACAGUCGAAGACAUGACACGUCGAAUCUAGUACACAUAUGACUGGAAUAACCUAUAAACAUAUCACAGUCGUUCAGAAAAUGUAUUUCGUUGUGGAAUUAAAAAAAUGUAUUACGAUGUGAACAGUUGUAAAAAAAGUCAUAGUUUUAAAUAGCGUGCUAUCUCGGUCCUAUAACAUUUGCAGGGCGUCAUGCUAAGCCAUUCAGUAGAAUUUAGCGUGUUAUAUAUUUUUCACAAAUAUGCAGAGCUUUAGGUGGUACAACACAUGGCACGAACGCAAGAGGCGAGACAUGGUACAUGAUGCCCGAAGCAGAGAUAAAUGCGAUGCUCAGCCCAAACAGAAAAAAAACACAGUUACACACGCUGUCCUGAGAGCCCCAACCAACAACUAGACAACCAACAUCUCCAAAUCCAGAACCGAGGAUGCCGCGAAAAAAACAAGACAACGCCAUCGUGAAGAAGAAUGACGCCGAGAUGUCGUCGCCAUCCGAUUCGGAUGACCGGACCUAGGGUAUCCCCUGAUGCUCAAAAUGGGACACCGAUAACGGCCAUGGCAGCACCUCCAAGAAGGGGAAGACACCCGCGAGUGUCGCCGUUGCCAGCAUAGGAUGCAUGGAUUUUGCCCUCGCCUGAGUAUGAACAAUCCCAAGCCGUCGGAGCAUGAAUCGGAGAAGAGGAAGUCUGGCAUAGGUUGAAGAUGCGGCCAGUACAGGAAGGAGAGCUACGCCCGCCGCUGAAGGAGGCACAGGGCACCGUCGGACGUGGGAGGACCAGAGCAGGCGGAAGGAUGGACAGGUCACGAAGGUGGGUGAGGUUGGGUGGUUGGACGGAAUGAGAGACAUCGGGGCAUGAUAAUGGCUGGAGACCGAAAUGAUCCUGGAUCUGGAGGGAAGCGUGUUGGAAUAAAGAGCCACGGCCAGAGUGUGGUGGCCGCGUGAGCGCACGCAGAGUCCGUGGUUCAGGGGGUGCGUGUGCGUGCGUGAGUCAGGCUGGUGCGUGCGUGUGUGAGUGGACCCAGCUAGCGUGCGUAGACCAGGAGGUUACUGGAUCGCUAUGUAGGCGUGAUCGCUGCGGGCUGGCCACGAGCUGCAUGCGUACGUGCGCGAGGUGGCCGCGAGCUGAGCGGGCCGAUCGGGGCGCCAGGAGGGGUGGGUGCGUGUGGGUCGUGCCCAACGCAGGCCCGUCAAUAUAAGCCCCUGGUCGAUCAUUGUAACGGUGUGGUCUAGGGCAUCGAGUUCGAGCUCGAGGAAAUAUACGCCGUACGUGCAGCGGCGGGCGUUCGAGCGCCCGGAAAAACUCUGUGUCCACCCCUUCCAUCCCUUCUUCUUCCUCGGUCCGUUGCACAGCAGAGAGAGAGAGGACUAGAUAGGGUUCGGCAAGGCCACGGCAACAACAAUUGGUAUACAGAGCUUCGGUUCGGGCGAUCACCGGCGACCAUGGCCCUCGUCCCACACGGCGGCGGCGCGGGCGGAUCGGCGACGACGGCGAUGCCGAUGCUGACCGCAGACAACUACACGGUCUGGGCCAUCAAGGCGCAAGCGAUCCUCGAUGUCCACACCGUAUGGGAGGCGGUGGUGCCAGGCGACGCGGCAGUGAACGCGCGGAAGGACAAGAUGGCGCGUGCGUUGCUUCUCGGGGCGUUGCCGGAGGAUGUGCUGCUGCAGGUGUUGACGAAGCUCACCGCCAGGGAGGUAUGGGACUCCCUGAAGGUGAGGUUCGUCGGCGCCGACCGGGUCCGUGCGGCGAGGCUGGCGACGCUGCGCGGCGAAUUUGACCUCCUGAAGAUGGCGGACGGCGAGGAGCUCGCGGCGAUGGCGGCGAGGUAAGCCAAGCUCGGGGAGACGCUGGGCGACGCGGCGCUCGUCAAAGAAGCUGCUGGAUACGGUGCCGGAUCGGCUCUUCCCCGUCGUCGCCGGCAUCAAGCAGUUCCACGACGUGACGACGAUGGCGUUCGACGAGGCGCUCGGGCGACUGCGCGCGUUCGACGAGCGUGUUCGGCGCCGUGGACAAGACGGCGGCGAGCGGGCGGACAGACAGCUCCUGUACACUGCGGCGCAGUGGCGGGCACGGGAGCGGCGUCAAGGCAGAGGUCGGGGCGACGACGACGACGUGCGCAGCGUGGCGAAGAGGGGCGGCGGCAACAGGCGCGGGCGCUGCUACAAGUGCGGCGAGCGCGACCACUUCAAACGGGAUUGUCCCCAGCUCCGGAGGGCACCAGCGGCGGAGCAGGCGCUGCUGGCGAACGCCGGCGUCGAGGAUGACGGACUCCUCUAAGCCGUGGCUCAGCGGGUGAGUGUUGGAAUAAAGAGCCACGGCCAAAGUGUGGUGGGCGCGUGAGCGCGCACAGGGCGCGACGGGCGCGGGCCGGAUUGUGUCGGGUCCAUGGUUCAGGGGGUGUGUGUGCGUGCGUGAGUCAGGCUGGUGCGUGCGUGUGUGCAUGGACCCAGCUAGCGUGCAUAGACCAGGAGGUUACUGGAUCGCUAUGUAGGCGUGAUCGCUACGGGCUGGCCGCGAGCUGCAUGCGUACGUGCGCGAGGUGGCCGCGAGCUGAGCGGGCCGAUCGGGGCGCCAGGAGGGGUGGGUGCAUGUGGGUUGUGCCCAACGCAGGCCCUUCAAUAUAAGCCCCUGGUCGAUCAUUGUAACGGUGUGGUCUAGGGCAUCGAGUUCGAGCUCGAGGAAAUAUACGCCGUACGUGCGGCGGCGGGUGUUCGAGCGCCCGGAAAAACUCCUGUGUCCACCCCUUCCAUCCCUUCUUCUUCCUCGGUCUGUUGCACAGCAGGAGAGAGAGAGAGAGGACUAGCUAGGGUUCGGCAAGGCCACGGCAACAACAAAGCGCAUAUCCAGGCUACGGGGACAGGGGCAGCAAGGACGUCGGCGAGCCCAAGGAGCUGUAAGGAGACGCAGCUUCCACAGUGUGUCGAAAUCAAAGAUGCGCAGGUAUGGACGGCCAACCAAGGGCACCAACAGGGUGGGGUGCGAAGAGGCCGAGGUGCAUGUGAGCUAAAGGAGCCGGAAAGAGUGAAGCUCCCGGGGAGAGCAGAAGCCGGACCCGCGCUAGCCAGCCAUGAUCGCAGGAGCGAACGCAUGUCCAUGGCCGUCGGGCUUGCAGUCACCCCUGUGGAGGGGUGAUGGAGAGCUCGCGCGAAGCCAACCUCCUGGACGGCAUGCUGCAAGAAGCAGCCGUCGUCAGGCACAACCAAAUGCCUUCAUGGUUGCCUCUCAGGAAGUCUGACCUGAAUUUCGAACUGGGCGGGGGGAGGGUAGCAGCGCGGAGGACGCGCCGAGCAACCAUGACAGGUUGGCCGAAGAACGCCACAACCGGUCGGGAGGGGAGCUUCCAAAUCGCACAGGGUAGGAGGGCUGGGGCAGAGUAGGCACCGCAGUGCGCCAGGGUUGGAGCCGCCCCGCCACCACCAUCCCAGGGUACAUCGCGGCUUCGCUGGUAGGCCCUCUGGCAACAACGAUGUAGAGGGGCGGCAGAGGGCUAGCUUGUAGCGGUGGUUAGGGCUUCCCCGUGUCACGGGUCACGGAUGGUGCAGGGGGAUGGGGUAUCGAACGUCAUGACCCGGUUUAUUAAGGCCAAAUUCCAUCCGAUGGGCACCACACUUAUUUUUGAAGAAAGACACCAAAAUGACAUCUUAGAUCUGAUAGUAAUCAAGGAAAACAAGUUGUAUGAGGGGACGACAACUGGAGGCAGAAUGACUAGUAAAAAAUAAAUUAUAUUGAAAAUCAUACUAGCUUUGUUCUUCCUCGGAUUGAUUGCCACCCACCAGAGAUCGAAAAUCAAACUGAAGCAACGGUAAAGGAAAUAGGACACCUGCAAACGCCCUCGCCAUACUAGGCUUUAAAGACCGCAAUAGUCACUCGUCACACGAAACAGGAUCAGGAAGUUGUUGAAGAAACAUAAGUUGGCGCAUCACGCACCACAUUGCAGGCUUGUAAUCAUCACCACCGGUCCAGAGAGUUGGAGAAACCAGAACAUGCCGCGGAAUAAAAUGAAAGAAGAUAUCAAAGUCGUGGCAUCAAUAGCAAGCCAAUUUCCCUCCUUGAUAGUCACACUAACUGCCACGAUCGGAUGCAUCACAGUGAUCCCAGAACCUCCGAGGCGAAGGACGAGUAUAGCCGUCCUCAGCGCAGUAAUAACAAUCAUAUCUGGAAGCGCUGAAACAACAAGCAUGACGACAAGGAGGUCAACGCCGAGUUCGAAGGCGAGCUCCAGUGCGGUCCCGGCCCAAAGAACCGCCAGUGGCCAGCUAAGAAGAAGCAAGGUGGUCUUGACACUAUCAAGACCAUGGACAAGCCAUGCGACUACCACUCGUGUUUUUAUGUCCAUUUUGCAUCAUGUUUUUAUGUUGAUAUUUAUUGCAUUAUGGACUAUUAUUUCACGUUAUGAUACAAUUCUUAUGCUUUUCUCUCUUAUUUUGCAAGUCUCGCAUGAAGAGGGAGAUUGCCGGGAGCUGGAAUUCUGGACCUGAAAGGGCUAUAUCGGAAGCAGCUUUUCUGAACAUCUCCAAAUGAGCUGAAAAUUUAUGAAGUAUUAUUUUGGAAUAUAUUAAAAUUAUUGGCGAAAGAAAUAUCAGAAGGGGACCCACCAGGAGGCAAUAAGCCUAGGGGCGCCCCCUGGGCUUGUCGUGCCCUAGGCAGGCAUCCGGGGCCCAUCUUAUCCUAUAUGGUGCCAUUUGACCUAGAAAAAUCAGAAGAAGGGUUUCGGGACGAAGCGCUGUCGUCUCGAGGUGGAACCUGGGCAGGAGCACUUUUGCUCUCCGGCGAAGAGAUUCCGUCGGGGAAACUUCCCCCUGGGAGGGGAAAUCGAAGCCAUCGUCAUCACCAACGAUCCUUGUUCGCACACAAACACGUCACCAUGUACCCUCGACGCUAGGGGUGAUGCACCGCAACUUACCUUGAAGGAGACUCGGCCGGAAGCGCGGUACGCAAGCAAUCCGACGGGCGCUUUUGUAGACCCGAAACCCCACACGCCCGAGAGGGACCCCAUCUGGGGGCGCGACAGCUAUGGGCUGCCCUAUGUCGACCUGACCGCCCAUAGAUCCUCGUGGAUAUGCAGCCCUCCAUUGCUGAAGAACGAUGAAGAACGAGAAGAAAGAUACAGGGGUGGGGGAUAGAUGAACACAAAAAAGUGGUAGAUGUGUUUGUUUGAUUGUGUGGUGUUUAAUCGGCCAUCACCUCUCAUCUAUUUAUGAGGCGGCUGGACUUCCCGUACAAGAAAAGGACUCCAAAUCUCGUUCAAAUCCUUCCAAAAUUAGCUGAACUCGGAUUAGGUAUGUAUGAGACAGCAGUUCGAUAUUUUUUGUUUCACAUGCCAAAUACGACCUCGGAUGAAGAUGCGCCGAAAAGCAAAUUUAACCAUUUCGACGAGCGAACAACGUGUUGAACGUUUUUCGAUUCGAAGCCAUUUUGAGGGCCGAAUGGCUCGCGUGACCCAUCAGACAUCGUGUUUAAUGCCACGGGCCAGUUUUUACUCAUGAUAGUGAAGGAAAUAUGCACUAGAAGCAAUAAUAAAGUUGUUAUUUAUAUUUCCUUAUAUCAUGAUAAAUGUUUAUUAUUCAUGCUAGAAUUGUAUUAACUGGAAACUUAGUACAUGUCUGAAUACAUAGACAAACAGAGUGUCCCUAGUAUGCCUCUACUUGACUAGCUUGUUAAUCAAAGAUGGUUAAGUUUCCUAGCCAUAGACAUGUGUUGUCAUUUGAUGAACGGGAUCACAUCAUUAGGAGAAUGAUGUGAUGGACAAGACCCAUCCGUUAGCUUAGCAUUAUGAUCGUUAAGUUUUAUUGCUAUUGCUUUUUUCAUGACUUAUACAUAUUCCUCUGACUAUGUGAUUAUGCAACUCCCGAAUACUAGAGGAACACCUUGUGUGCUAUCAAACGUCACAACGUAACUGGGUGAUUAUAAAGAUGCUCUACAGAUGUCUCUGAAGGUGUUUGUUGGGUUGGCAUAGAUCAAGAUUAGGAUUUGUCACUCCGUGUAUCGAAGAGGUAUCUCUGGGCCCUCUCGGUAAUGCACAUCAUAAUAAGCCUUGCAAGCAAUGUGACUAAUGAGUUAGUUACGGGAUGAUGUAUUAUGGAACGAGUAAAGAGACUUGUCGGUAACGAGAUUGAACUAGGUAUGAAGAUAUCGACGAUCGAAUCUCGGGCAAGUAACAUACCGAUGACAAAGGGAAUAACGUAUGUUGUCAUAACGGUUCGACCGAUAAAGAUCUUCGUAGAAUAUGUAGGAGCCAAUAUGGGCAUCCAGGUUCCGCUAUUGGUUAUUGACCAGAGAGGUGUCUCGGUCAUGUCUACAUAGUUCUCGAACCCGUAGGGUCCGCACGCUUAACGUUCGUUGACGAUAUAGUAUUAUAUGAGUUAUGUAUGUUGGUGACCGAAUGUUGUUCGGAGUCCCAGAUGAGAUCGCGGACAUGACGAGGUGCUCCGGAAUGGUCCGGAGGUAAAGAUUGAUAUAUAGGAUGAUAUGGUUCGGCCAAGGGGUGAAGCCCACGAGGCUUUAGGUCGGUGCGAAAGGAGUUUUGCGGAGGCCAGGGGGCCAAACGCCGGAGACCCUGGCCUCUGGCCCUGGGCCAGAUGCCAAGGCCCAUGGCGUCUGGGCCAGACACCAAGGAUUGUGGCGUUUGGUCUUGGGGUCCGAUUGGGACUCUUGCCUUUCGGGCAAAACUGACUUUGAGGAGGCUUUUGCUCCAAGUUUCGACCCCAGGGCUCAACAUAUAAAUAGAGGGGCAGGGCUAGCACCAAAGACACAUGAAGAAACACCAAGACGUGUGCCGGCAACCUUGUCCCCUCUAGUUUAUCCUCCGUCAUAGUUUUCGUAGUGCUUAGGCGAAGCCCUGCGGAGAUUGUUCUUCACCAGCACCGUCACCACGCCGUCGUUCUGCCGGAACUCAUCUACUACUUCGCCCCUCUUGCUGGUUCACGAAGGCGAGGAUGUCAUCGAGCUGAACGUGUGCUGAACGCGGAGGUGCCAUACAUUCGAUACUUGAUCGGGACGGAUCGUGAAGGUGUACGACUACAUCAACCGCGUUGAUAAACGCUGCCGCUUUCGGUCUACGAGGGUACGUAGACACACUCUUCCCUCUCGUUGCUAUGCAUCUCCUAGAUAGAUCUUGCAUGAUCGUAGGAUUUUUUUUGAAAUACCGCAUUCCCCAACAGUGGCAUCCGAGCCAGGUCUAUGCGUAGAUGUUAUAUGCACAAGUAGAACACAUGUGAGUUGUGGGCGAUAAUAGUCAUACUGCUUACCAGCAUGUCAUACUUUGAUUCGGCAGUAUUGUUGGAUGAAGCAGCCCGGACCGACAUUACGCGUACGCUUACGCGAGACUGGUUCUACCGACGUGCUUCGCACACAGGUCGCUGGCUGGUGUCAGUUUCUCCAACUUUAGUUGAAUCGAGUGUGGCUACGCCUGGUCCUUGUUGGAGGUUAAAACAUCACAUACUUGACGAAAAAUCGUUGUGGUUUUGAUGCGUAGGUAAGAACGAUUCUUGCUCAGCCCAUAGCAGCCACGUAAAACUUGCAACAACAAAGUAGAGGACGUCUAACUUGUUUUUGUAGGGCAUGUUAUGAUGUGAUAUGGUCAAGACAUGAUGCUAAAUUUUAUUGUAUGAUAUGAUCAUGUUCUGUAACGGAGUUAUCGGCAACUGGCAGGAGCCAUAUGGUUGUCGCUUUAUUGUAUGCAAUGCAAUCGCCCUGUAAUUGUUUUUACUUUAUCACUAAGCGGUAGCGAUAGUUGUAGAAUCAAUAGUUGGCGAGACGACAACGAUGCUUCGAUGGAGAUCAAGGUGUCAAGCCGGUGGCGAUGGUGAUCAUGACGGUGCUUUGGAGAUGGAGAUCAAAGGCACAAGAUGAUGAUGGCCAUAUCAUAUCACUUAUAUUGAUUGCAUGUGAUGUUUAUCCUUUAUGCAUCUUAUUUUGCUUAGUACGACGGUAGCAUUAUAAGAUGAUCCCUCACUAAAUUUCAAGGUAUAAGUGUUCUCCCUGAGUAUGCACUGUUGCGACAGUUCUUCGUGCUGAGACGCCACGUGAUGAUCGGGUGUGAUAAGCUCUACGUUCACAUACAACGGGUGCAAGCCAGUUUUGCACACGCAGAAUACUCGGGUUAAACUUGACGAACCUAGCAUAUGCAGAUAUGGCCUCGGAACACUGAGACCGAAAGGUCGAGCGUGAAUCAUAUGUUGGAAAUAUGCCCUAGAGGCAAUAAUAAAAUGGUUAUUAUUAUAUUUCCUUGUUCAUGAUAAUUGUCUAUUGUUCAUGCUAUAAUUGUGUUAUUCGGAAAUCGUAAUACAUGUGUGAAUACAUAGACCACAACAUGUCCCAAGUGAGCCUCUAGUUGACUAGCUCGUUGAUCAAAAGAUAGUCAUGGUUUCCUGACUAUGGACAUUGGAUGUCAUUGAUAACGGGAUCAUAUCAUUAGGAGAAUGAUGUGAUGGACAAGACCCAAUCCUAAGCAUAGCACAAAGAUCGUGUAGUUCGUUUGCUAGAGCUUUUCCAAUGUCAAGUAUCAUUUCCUUAGACCAUGAGAUCGUGUAACUCCCGGAUGCCGUAGGAGUGCUUUGGAUGUACCAAACGUCACAACGUAACUGGGUGACUAUAAAGGUACACUACAGGUAUCUCUGAAAGUGUCUGUUGGGUUGACACGGAUCGAGACUGGGAUUUGUCACUCCGUAUGACGAAGAGGUAUCUCUGGGCCCACUCGGUAAUGCAUCAUCAUAAUGAGCUCAAUGUGACCAAGUGUUUGGUCACGGGAUCAUGCAUUACGGUACGAGUAAAGUGACUUGCCGGUGACGAGAUUGAACAAGGUAUUGGGAUACCGACGAUCGAAUCUCGGGCAAGUAACGUACCGCUUGACAAAGGGAAUUGUAUACGGGAUUGAUUGAAUCCUCGACAUUGUGGUUCAUCCGAUGAGAUCAUCGAGGAACAUGUGGGAGCCAACAUGGGUAUCCAGAUCCCGCUGUUGGUUAUUGACCGGAGAGUCGUCUCGGUCAUGUCUGCAUGUCUCCCGAACCCGUAGGGUCUACACAGUUAAGGUUCGGUGACGCUAGGGUUGUAGAGAUAUUAGUAUGCGGUAACCCGAAAGUUGUUCGGAGUCCCGGAUGAGAUCCCGGACGUCACGAGGAGUUCCGGAAUGGUCCGGAGGUGAAGAAUUAUAUAUAGGAAGUCCAGUUUCGGCCACCGGGAAAGUUUCGGGGGUUACCGGUAUUGUACCGGGACCACCGGAAGGGUCCCGGGGGUCCACCGGGUGGGGCCACCUAUCCCGGAGGGCCCCAUGGGCUGAAGUGGGAGGGGAACCAGCCCCUGGUGGGCUGGUGCGCCCCCGUUGGGCCUCCCCCUGCGCCUAGGGUUGGGAACCCUAGGGGUGGGGGCGCCCCCACUUGGCUUGGGGGGGAAGCCACCUCUUGGCCGCCGCCCCCCUUGGAGAUUGCAUCUCCCAGGGCCGGCGCCCCCCAGGGGCCCUAUAUAUAGUGGGGGGAGGGAGGGCAGCCGCACCACAGCCCCUGGCGCCUCCCUCUCCCUCCCGUGACACCUCUCCCUCUCGCUGAGCUUGGCGAAGCCCUGCCGAGAUCCCCGCUACUUCCACCACCACGCCGUCGUGCUGCUGGAUCUCCAUCAACCUCUCCUUCCCCCUUGCUGGAUCAAGAAGGAGGAGACGUUGCUGCUCCGUACGUGUGUUGAACGCGGAGGUGCCGUCCGUUCGGCGCUCGGUCAUCGGUGAUUUGGAUCACGACGAGUACGACUCCAUCAACCCCGUUCACUUGAACGCUUCCGCUCGCGAUCUACAAGGGUAUGUAGAUGCACUCCUCUCUCUCGUUGCUAGAUGACUCCAUAGAUUGAUCUUGGUGAUGCGUAGCAAAUUUUAAAUUUCUGCUACGAUCCCCAACAGUGGUAUCAGAGCCAGGCCUAUGCGUAGUUUCUAUGCACGAGUAGAACACAAACUUGUUGUGGGCGUUGAUGUUGUCAAUUUUUCUUGCGACUACUAGUCUUAUCUUGUUUCGGCGGCAUUGUGGGAUGAAGCGUCCCGGACCGACCUUACACGUACGCUUACGUGAGACAGGUUCCACCGACUGACAUGCACUAGUUGCAUAAGGUGGCUAGAGGGUGUCUGUCUCUCCCACUUUACUUGGAACGGAUUCGAUGAAAAGGGUCCUUAUGAAGGGUAAAUAGAAAUUGGCAUAUCACUUUGUGGUUUUACAUAGGUAAGAAACGUUCUUGCUAGAAACCUAUAGAAGCCACGUAAAAACAUGCAACAACAAUUAGAGGACGUCUAACUUGUUUUUGCAGCAUGUGCCUUGUGAUGUGAUAUGGCCAAAAGGAUGUGAUGAAUGAGAUAUAUGUGAUGUAUGAGAUUGAUCAUGUUCUUGUAAUUGGAAUCACGACUUGCAUGUCGAUGAGUAUGACAACCGGCAGGAGCCAUAGGAGUUGUCUUUAUUUUUUGUAUGACCUGCGAGUCAUUGAAUAACGCCAUGUAAAUUACUUUACUUUAUUGCUAAACAUGUUAGCCAUAUAAGUAGAAGUAAUCAUUGGCGUGACAACUUCAUGAAGACACGAUGAUGGAGAUCAUGAUGAUGGAGAUCAUGGUGUCAUGCCGGUGACGAAGAUGAUCAUGGCGCCCCGAAGAUGGAGAUCAAAAGGAGCAAAAUGAUAUUGGCCAUAUCAUGUCACUAUUUGAUUGCAUGUGAUGUUUAUCAUGUUUUACAUCUUAUUUGCUUAGAAUGACGGUAGCUUAAAUAAGAUGAUCCCUCGCAAUAAUUUCAAGAAAGUGUUCCCCCUAACUAUGCACCCGUUGCGAAGGUUCGUUGUUUCGAAGCACCACGUGAUGAUCGGGUGUGAUAGAUUCUAACGUUCGAAUACAAUGGGUGUAAGCCAGAUUUACACACGCAAUACACUUAGGUUGACUUGACGAGCCUAGCAUGUACAGACAUGGCCUCGGAACACGGAAGACCGAAAGGUCGAGCAUGAGUCGUAUAGAAGAUACGAUCAACAUGAAGAUGUUCACCCAUGUUGACUAGUCCGUCUCACGUGAUGAUCGGACACGGCCUAGUUGACUCGGAUCAUGUUUCACUUAGAUGACUGGAGGGAUGUCUAUCUGAGUGGGAGUUCAUUGAAUAAUUUGAUUAGAUGAACUUAAUUAUCAUGAACUUAGUCUAAAAUCUUUACAAUAUGUCUUGUAGAUCAAAUGGCCCACGUUGCCCUCAACUUCAACGCGUUCCUAGAGAAAACCAAGCUGAAAGAUGAUGGCAGCAACUAUACGGACUGGGUCCGGAAUCUGAGGAUCAUCCUCAUAGCUGCCAAGAAAGAUUAUGUCCUAGAAGCACCGCUAGGUGAAGCACCCAUCCCAAAGAACCAAGACGUUAUGAACGCUUGGCAGUCACGUGCUGAUGAUUACUCCCUCGUUCAGUGCGGCAUGCUUUACAGCUUAGAACCGGGGCUCCAAAAGCGUUUUGAGCAACACGGAGCAUAUGAGAUGUUCGAAGAGCUGAAAAUGGUUUUCCAAGCUCAUGCCCGGGUCGAGAGAUAUGAAGUCUCCGACAAGUUCUUCAGUUGUAAGAUGGAGGAAAACAGUUCUGUCAGUGAGCACAUACUCAAAAUGUCUGGGUUGCACAACCGCUUGACUCAGCUGGGAGUUAAUCUCCCGGAUGACGCGGUCAUUGACAGAAUCCUUCAGUCGCUUCCACCGAGCUACAAGAGCUUUGUGAUGAACUUCAAUAUGCAGGGGAUGGAAAAGACCAUUCCUGAGGUAUAUUCAAUGCUGAAAUCAGCGGAGGUGGAGAUCAAAAAGGAACAUCAAGUGUUGAUGGUGAAUAAAACCACUAAGUUCAAGAAAGGCAAGGGUAAGAAGAACUUCAAGAAGGAUGGCAAGGGAGUUGCCGCGCCCGGUAAGCCAGUUGCCGGGAAGAAGCCAAAGAAUGGACCCAAGCCUGAGACUGAGUGCUUUUAUUGCAAGGGAAGUGGUCACUGGAAGCGGAACUGCCCCAAAUACUUAGCGGACAAGAAGGCCGGCAACACCAAAGGUAUAUGUGAUAUACAUGUAAUUGAUGUGUACCUUACCAGUACUCGUAGUAGCUCCUGGGUAUUUGAUACCGGUGCGGUUGCUCAUAUUUGUAACUCAAAACAGGAGCUGCGGAAUAAGCGGAGAUUGGCGAAGCACGAGGUGACGAUGCGCGUCGGGAAUGGUUCCAAGGUCGAUGUGAUCGCCGUCGGCACGCUACCUCUACAUUUACCUACGGGAUUCGUUUUAAACCUCAAUAAUUGUUAUUUAGUGCCAGCUUUGAGCAUGAACAUUGUAUCAGGAUCUCGUUUAAUUCGAGAUGGCUACUCAUUUAAAUCCGAGAAUAAUGGUUGUUCUAUUUAUAUGAGAGAUAUGUUUUAUGGUCAUGUCCCGCUGGUUAAUGGUUUAUUCUUAAUGAAUCUCAAACGUGAUGUUACACAUAUUCAUAGUGUGAAUACCAAAAGAUGUAAAGUUGAUAACGAUAGUCCCACAUACUUGUGGCACUGCCGCCUUGGUCACAUUGGUGUCAAGCGCAUGAAGAAGCUCCAUGCUGAUGGACUUUUAGAGUCUCUCGAUUAUGAAUCAUUUGACACAUGCGAACCAUGCCUCAUGGGCAAAAUGACCAAGACUCCGUUCUCCGGAACAAUGGAGCGAGCAACCAACUUAUUAGAAAUCAUACAUACUGAUGUGUGCGGUCCAAUGAGUGUUGAGGCUCGCGGAGGCUAUCGUUAUGUUCUCACUCUCACUGAUGACUUGAGUAGAUAUGGGUAUGUCUACCUAAUGAAACACAAGUCUGAGACCUUUGAAAAGUUCAAGGAAUUUCAGAGUGAGGUUGAGAAUCAACGUGACAGGAAAAUAAAGUUCCUACGAUCAGAUCGUGGAGGGGAAUAUUGAAGUCACGAAUUUGGCACACACUUAAGGAAAUGUGGAAUAGUUUCACAACUCACGCCGCCUGGAACACCUCAGCGAAAUGGUGUGUCCGAACGUCGUAAUCGCACUCUAUUGGAUAUGGUGCGAUCUAUGAUGUCUCUUACCGAUCUACCGCUCUCAUUUUGGGGCUAUGCUUUAGAGACUGCCGCAUUCACAUUAAAUAGGGCUCCGUCGAAAUCCGUUGAGACGACACCGUAUGAAUUAUGGUUUGGGAAGAAACCUAAGCUAUCGUUUCUGAAAGUUUGGGGAUGCGUAUGCUUAUGUCAAGAAACUUCAACCUGAAAAGCUCGAACCCAAGUCGGAAAAAUGCGUCUUCAUAGGAUACCCUAAGGAAACCAUUGGGUAUACCUUCUACCUCAGAUCCGAAGGCAAGAUCUUUGUUGCCAAGAACGGGUCCUUUCUGGAGAAAGAGUUUCUCUCGAAAGAAGUGAGUGGGAGGAAAGUGGAACUUGAUGAGGUGAUAGUCACCCCUUCCGAACCGGAAAGUAGCGCAACGCGGGAAGAUGUUCCUGUGGUGCCUGCACCGACUGGGGAGGAAGUUAAUGAUGAUGAUCAUGAAGCUUCAGAUCAAGUUACUGCUGAACUUUGUAGGUCCACAAGGACACGUUCCGCACCAGAUUGGUACGGCAACCCUGUCAUGGAAAUCAUGUUGUUAGACAACGGUGAACCUUCGAACUAUGAAGAAGCGAUGGCGGGCCCGGAUUCCAACAAAUGGCUUGAAGCCAUGCAAUCCGAGAUAGGAUCCAUGUAUGAAAACGAAGUAUGGACUUUGACUGACUUGCCUGAUGAUCGGCGAGCCAUAGAAAAUAAAUGGAUCUUUAAGAAGAAGACAGACGCGGAUGGUAAUGUGACCAUCUAUAAGGCUCGACUUGUCACUAAGGGUUAUCGACAAGUUCAAGGGGUUGACUACGAUGAGACUUUCUCACCCGUAGCAAAGCUGAAGUCCGUCCGAAUCAUGUUAGCAAUUUCCGCAUUCUAUGAUUAUGAGAUAUGGCAAAUGGACGUCAAAACGGCAUUCCUUAACGGCUUUCUUAAGGAAGAAUUGUAUAUGAUGCAGCCGGAAGGUUUUGUCGAUCCUAAGAAUGCUAACAAGGUAUGCAAGCUCCAGCGCUCCAUCUAUGGGCUGGUGCAAGCAUCUCGGAGUUGCAACAUUCGAUUUGAUGAGAUGAUCAAAGCGUUUGGGUUUACACAGACUUAUGGAGAAGCCUGUGUUUACAAGAAAGUGAGUGGGAGCUCUGUAGCAUUUCUCUUAUUAUAUGUGGAUGACAUACUAUUGAUGGGAAAUGAUAUAGAAUUCUUGGAAAGUAUAAAGGCCUAUUUGAAUAAGUGUUUUUCAAUGAAGGACCUUGGAGAAGCUGCUUAUAUAUUAGGCAUCAAGAUCUAUAGAGAUAGAUCAAGACGCCUCAUUGGUCUUUCACAGAGUACGUACCUUGACAAGAUAUUAAAGAAGUUCAAUAUGGAUCAGUCCAAGAAGGGGUUCUUGCCUGUAUUGCAAGGUGUGCAAUUGAGCACGGCUCAAUGCCCGACCACGGCAGAAGAUAGAGAAAAGAUGAGUGUCAUCCCCUAUGCCUCGGCCAUAGGGUCUAUUAUGUAUGCCAUGCUGUGUACCAGACCUGAUGUAAACCUUGCUGUAAGUUUGGUAGGAAGGUACCAAAGUAAUCCCGGCAUGGAACACUAGACAGCGGUCAAGAAUAUCCUGAAGUACCUGAAGAGGACUAAGGAUAUGUUUCUCGUUUAUGGAGGUGACGAAGAGCUCGUCGUAAAGGGUUACGUCGAUGCUAGCUUCGACACAGAUCUGGAUGACUCUAAGUCACAAACCGGAUACGUGUAUAUUUUGAAUGGAGGGGCAGUAAGCUAGCGCAGUUGCAAGCAAAGCGUCGUGGCGGGAUCUACAUGUGAAGCGGAGUACAUGGCGGCCUCAGAGGCAGCGCAAGAAGCAAUCUGGAUGGAGUUCAUUACCGACCUAGGGGUGAUUCCCAAUGCGUCGGGCCCGAUGACUCUCUUCUAUGACAACACUGGAGCUAUUGCCCUUGCCAAGGAGCCCAGGUUUCACAGGAAGACCAGGCAUAUCAAGCGUCGCUUCAACUCCAUUCGUGAAAGUGUUCAAAAUGGAGACAUAGAUAUUUGUAAAGUAAAUACGGACCUGAAUGUAGCAGAUCCGUUGACUAAACCUCUCCCUAGAGCAAAACAUGAUCAACACCAGAACUCUAUGGGUGUUCGAUUCAUCACAAUGUAACUAGAUUAUUGACUCUAAUGCAAGUGGGAGACUGUUGGAAAUAUGCCCUAGAGGCAAUAAUAAAAUGGUUAUUAUUAUAUUUCCUUGUUCAUGAUAAUUGUCUAUUGUUCAUGCUAUAAUUGUGUUAUCCGGAAAUCGUAAUACAUGUGUGAAUACAUAGACCACAACAUGUCCCUAGUGAGCCUCUAGUUGACUAGCUCGUUGAUCAAAAGAUAGUCAUGGUUUCCUGACUAUGGACAUUGGAUGUCAUUGAUAACGGGAUCACAUCAUUAGGAGAAUGAUGUGAUGGACAAGACCCAAUCCUAAGCAUAGCACAAAGAUCGUGUAGUUCGUUUGCUAGAGCUUUUCCAAUGUCAAGUAUCAUUUCCUUAGACCAUGAGAUCGUGUAACUCCCGGAUGCCAUAGGAGUGCUUUGGGUGUACCAAACGUCACAACGUAACUGGGUGACUAUAAAGGUACACUAUAGGUAUCUCUGAAAGUGUCUGUUGGGUUGACACGGAUCGAGAUUGGGAUUUGUCACUCCGUAUGACGGAGAGGUAUCUCUGGGCCCACUCGGUAAUGCAUCAUCAUAAUGAGCUCAAUGUGACUAAGGGGUUAGCCACGGGAUCAUGCGUUACGGUAAGAAUAAAGUGACUUGCCGGUAACGAGAUUGAACAAGGUAUUGGGAUACCGACGAUCGAAUCUCGGGCAAGUAACGUACCGCUUGACAAAGGGAAUUGUAUACGGGAUUGAUUGAAUCCUCGACAUCGUGGUUCAUCCGAUGAGAUCGAGGAACAUGUGGGAGCCAACAUGGGUAUCCAGAUCCCGCUGUUGGUUAUUGACCGGAGAGUCGUCUCGGUCAUGUCUGCAUGUCUCCCGAACCCGUAGGGUCUACACACUUAAGGUUCGGUGACGCUAGGGUUGUAGAGAUAUUAGUAUGCGGUAACCCGAAAGUUGGUCGGAGUCCCGGAUGAGAUCCCGGACAUCACGAGGAGUUCCGGAAUGGUUUGUAGGUGAAGAAUUAUAUAUAGGAAGUCCAGUUUCGGCCACCGGGAAAGUUUUGGGGGUUACCGGUAUUGUAUCGGGACCACCGGAAGGGUCCCGGGGGUCCACCGGGUGGGGCCACCUAUCCCGGAGGUCCCCAUGGGCUGAAGUGGGAGGGGAACCAGCCCCUGGUGGGCUGGUGCGCCCCCUCUUGGGCCUCCCCCCGCGCCUAGGGUUGGGAACCCUAGGGGUGGGGGCGCCCCCCACUAGGCUUGGGGGGAAGCCACCCCUUGGCCGCCGCCCCCCUUGGAGAUUGCAUCUCCCAGGGCCGGUGCCCCCCAGGGGCCCUAUAUAUAGUGGGGGGAGGGAGGGCAGCCACACCACAGCCCCUGGCGCCUCCCUCUCCCUCCCGUGACACCUCUCCCUCUCGCUGAGCUUGGCGAAGCCCUGCCGAGAUCCCCGCUACUUCCACCACCACGCCGUCGUGCUGCUGGAUCUCAAUCAACCUCUCCUUCCCCCUUGCUGGAUCAAGAAGGAGGAGACGUCGCUGCUCCGUACGUGUGUUGAACGCAGAGGUGCCGUCCGUUCGACGCUCGGUCAUCGGUGAUUUGGAUCACGACGAGUACGACUCCAUCAACCCCGUUCACUUGAACGCUUCAGCUCGCGAUCUACAAGGGUAUGUAGAUGCACUCCUCUCUCUCGUUGCUAGAUGACUCCAUAGAUUGAUCUUGGUGAUGCGUAGAAAAUUUUAAAUUUCUGCUACGAUCCCCAACAUCAUAUAGUAGAUAUGAUCAACAUAGUGAUGUUCACCAUUGAAAGCUACUCCAUCUCACGUGAUGAUCGAACAUGGUUUAGUUGAUAUGGAUCACGUGAUCAUUUAGAUGACUAGAGUGAUGUCUAUCUAAGUGGGAGUUCUUAAGUAAUAUGAUUAAAUUGAAAUUUAAUUUAUCAUGAACUUAGUCUUGAUAGUAUUUGCAAAUUAUGUUGUAGAUCAAUAGCUCGCGAUGUAGCUCCCCGUUUAUUUUUUUCUAUGUUCCUAGAGAAAAAUAAUUUGAAAGAUGAUAGUAGUAAUGAUGCAGACUUGGUUCGUGAUCUGAGGAUUAUCCUCAUUGCUGCACAAAGAAGAAUUAUGUUCUUGAUGCACCGCUAGGUGACAGGCCGAUUGCAGGAGCAGAUGCAGACAUUAUGAAUGUUUGGCAAGCUCGAUAUGAUGACUACUUGAUAGUUUAGUGCACCAUGCUUUACGGCUUAGAAUCGGGGCUUCAAAGACGUUUUGAACACCACGGAGCAUAUGAGAUGUUCCAAGAGUUGAAAUUAGUAUUUCAGACUCAUGCCCAUGUCGAAAGGUAUGAGACCUUUGACAAGUACUUUGCCUACAAGAUGGAGGAGAAUAGCUCAACCAGUGAGCAUGUGCUCAGAUUGUCUGGGUACUCCAAUUGCUUGAAUCAAGUGGGAGUUAAUCUUCCAGAUAAGAUAGUAAUUGACAAAGUUCUCUAGUCACUAUCUCCAAGUUACUAGAACUUCGUGAUGAACUAUAAUAUGUAAGGGAUGACGAAAGUAAUUCCCAAGCUCUUCGCGAGCUGAAAUCAACGAAGGUAGAAAUCAAGAAAGAGCAUCAAGUGUUGAUGGUUAACAAGACCACUAGUUUCAAGAAAAGUGCAAAGGGAUAGAAGGGGAACUUCAAGAAGAAUGGCAAGCAAGUUGCUACUCAUGUGAAGAAGCCCAAGUCUGGACCUAAGCCUGAGACUGAGUGCUUCUACUGCAAUGGAAAUGGUCACUGGAAGUGGAACUGCCCUAGAUACUUGGCGGAUAAGAAGGAUGGCAAAGUGAACAAUGGUAUAUUUGAUAUACAUGUUAUUGACGUGUACUUUACUAGUGUUUAUAGCAAACCCCUCAGUAUUUGAUGCUGGUUCAGUUGCUAAGAUUAGUAACUCGAAACGGGAAUUACAGAAUGAAUAGAGACUAGUUAAGGGUGAAGUGACGAUGUGUGUUGGAAAUGGUUCCAAGAUUGAUAUGAUCAUCAUCGCACACUCCCUAUACUUUCGGGAUUAGGGUUGAACCUAAAUAAAUGUUAUUUGGUGUUUGCGUUGAGCAUGAAUAUGAUUUGAUCAUGUUUAUUGCAAUACGAUUAUUCAUUUAAAGUCAGAGAAUAAUUGUUGUUCUGUUUACAUGAAUGAAACCUUCGAUGGUCAUACAUCCAAUGAAAAUAGUUUGUUGGAUCUCGACCAUAGUGAUACACAUAUUCAUAAUAUUAGAGCCAAAAGAUACAAAGUUAAUAAUGAUAGUGCAACUUAUUUGUGGCACUGCCGUUUAGGUCUUAUUGGUGUAAAGCGCAUGAAGAAACUCCAUGCUGAUGGGCUUUUGGAAUCACUUGAUUAUGGAUCAUUUGAUGCUUGCAAACCAUGCCUCAUGGGCAAGAUGACUAAGGCUCCAUUCUCUGGAACAAUGGAGCGAGCAACUGAAUUGUUGAAAAUAAUACAUAAUGAUGUAUGCGGUCCGAUAAGUGUUGAGGCUCGCGGCGGGUAUCGUUAAUGUCUAACCUUCACAGAUGAUUUGAGCAGAUAUGGGUAUAUCUACUUGAUGAAACACAAGUCUAAAACAUUUCAAAAGUUCAAAGAAUUUCAGAGUAAAGUGGAGAAUCAUCGUAACAAGAAAAUAAAGUUUUCUGCGAUUUGAUCGCACAGACGAAUAUUUGAGUUACGAGUUUGGCCUUCAAUUAAAACAAUGUGCAAUAGUUUCACAAACUCAUGCCACCCAGAACACCACAGCGUAAUGGUGUGUCCGAACGUCAUAACCGUACUUUAUUGGAUAUAGUGCAAUCUAUGAUGUCUCUUACCAAUUUACCACUAUCAUUUUUGGGGUUAUGCAUUAGAGACAGCUACAUUCACGUUAAAUAGGGCACCAUCUAAAUCCGUUGAGAUGACACCGUAUGAACUAUGGUCUGGCAAGAAACCUAAGCUGUCAUUUCUUAAAGUUUGGGGUUGCGAUGCUUAUGUGAAAAAGUUUCAACCUGAUAAGCUCGAACCCAAAUCGGAGAAAUGCGUCUUCAUAGGAUACCCAAAGGAAACUGUUGGGUACACCUUCUAUCAUAGAUCCGAAGGCAAGAUAUUCAUUGCUAAGAAUGGAUCCUUUCUAUAGAAGGAGUUUCUCUCGAAAGAAGUGAGUGGGAGGAAAGUAGAACUUGAUGAGGUAAUUGUACCUUCUCCCGAAUUGGAAAGCAGUUCAUCACAGAAAUCAGUUCCAGUGAGUCCUACACCAAUUAAUGAGGAAGCUAAUGAUGAUGAUCAUGAAACUUCAGAUCAAGUUAUAUCGAACCUCGUAGGUCAACCAGAGUAUGGUCCACACCAGAGUGGUACGGUAAUCCUGUUCUGGAAGUCAUGUUAGUGGACCAUGAUGAACCUACGAACUAUGAGGAAGCGAUGAUGAGCCCAGAUUCCGCGAAAUGGCUUGAGGCCAUAAAAUCUGAGAUAGGAUCCAUGUAUGAGAACAAAGUGUGGACUUUGGUUGACUUGCCCGAUGAUCGGCAAGCCAUGGAGAAUAAAUGGAUCUUCAAGAGGAAGACGGACGCUGAUAGUAGUGUUACUAUCUACAAAGCUCGAAUUGUCGCAAAAGAUUUUUGACAAGUUCAAGAUGUUGACUACAAUGAGAUUUUCUCACUCGUAGCGAUGCUUAAGUCUGUCUGAAUCAUGUUAGCAAUUGCCACAUUUUACGAAAUCUGGCAAAUGGAUGUCGAAACUGCAUUCUUAAUGGAUUUCUUAAAGAAGAGUAGUAUAUGAUGCAACAAGAAGGUUUUGUCAAUCCUAAAUAUGCUAACAAAGUGUGCAAAGCUCCAGCGAUCCAUCUAUGGACUGGUGCAAGCAUCUCGGAGUUGGAAUAUACGCUUUGAUGAGUUGAUCAAAUCAUAUAGUUUUAUACAGACUUGCGGAGAAGCCUGUAUUUACAAGAAAGUGAGUGGGAGCACUACAGCCUUUCUGAUAAGUAUAUGUGAGUGACAUAUUGUUGAUCGGAAAUGAUAUAGAAUUUUCUGGAAAGCAUAAAGGAGUGUUUGAAAGGAGUUUUUCAAAGAAAGACCUCGAUGAAGCUACUUACAUAUUGAGCAUCAAGAUCUAUAGAGAUAGAUCAAAAGACUUGAUAAGUUUUUUCAAUGAGUACAUACCUUGACAAGAUUUUGAUAUAGUUCAAAAUGAAACAGUCAAAGAAGGAGUUCUUGUCUGUAUUGCAAGGUGUGAAACUGAGUAAAGACUCAAAACCCGACCACGGCAGAAAAUAGAAAGAGAAUGAAAGUCAUUCCCAAUGCCUCAGCCAUAGGUUCUAUAAAGUAUGCCAUGCUAUGUACCAGACCUAUUGUAUACCCUGCCCUGUGUUUGGCAAGGGAGUACAAUAGUGAUCUAGGAGUAGAUCACUAGACAUUGGUCAAAAUUAUCCUUAGAGGACUAAGGAAAUAUUUCUCGGUUAUGGAGGUGAUAAAGAGUUCGUCGUAAAGAGUUACGUCGAUGCAAGCUUUGACACCGAUCUGGAUGACUCUGAGUCUCGAUCUAGAUACAUAUUGAAAGUGGGAGCAUUUAGCUAGAGUAGCUCCGUGCAGAGUAUUGUAGACACAGAAAUUUGCAAAAUACAUACGGAUUUGAAUGUUGCAGGCCCGUAGACUAAAAAUUUCUCUCACAGGCAAAACAUGAUCAUACCUUAUUACUCUUGGGUGUUAAUCACAUAGCGAUGUGAACUAGAUUAUUGACUCUAGUAAACCUUUUGAGUGUUGGUCAAAUGGCGAUGUGAACUAUAGGUGUUAAUCACAUAAAGAUGUGAACUAUUGGUGUUAAAUCAGAUGGCGAUGUGAACUAGAUUAUUGACUCUAGUGCAAGUGGGAGACUGAAGGAAAUAUGCCCUAGAGGCAAUAAUAAAGUUAUUAUUUAUAUUUCCUUAUAUCAUGAUAAACGCUUAUUAUUCAUGCUAGAAUUGUAUUAACCGGAAACUUAGUACAUAGCUGAAUACAUAGACAAACAGAGUGUCCCUAGUAUGCCUCUACUUGACUAGCUCGUUAAUCAAAGAUGGUUAAGUUUCCUAGCCAUAGACAUGUGUUGUCAUUUGAUGAACGGGAUCACAUCAUUAGGAGAAUGAUGUGAUGAACAAGACCCAUCUGUUAGCUUAGCAUUAUGAUUGUUAAGUUUUAUUGCUAUUGCUUUCUUCAUGACAUACAUAUUCCUCUAACUAUGAGAUUGUGCAACUCCCGAAUACCAGAGGAACACCUUGUGUGCUAUCAAACGUCACAACGUAACUGGGUGAUUAUAAAGAUGCUCUACAGAUGUCUCCGAAGGUGUUUGUUGGGUUGGCAUAGAUGAAGAUUAGGAUUUGUCACUCCGUGUAUCGGAGAGGUAUCUCUGGCCCUCUCGGUAAUGCACAUCAUAAUAAGCCUUGCAAGCAAUGUGACUAAUGAGUUAGUUACGGGAUGAUGUAUUACGGAACGACUAAAGAGACUUGUCAGUAACGAGAUUGAACUAGGUAUGAAGAUACCGACGAUCGAAUCUCGGGCAAGUAACAUAUCGGUGACAAAGGAAAUAACGUAUGUUGUCAUAACGGUUCGACCGAUAAAGAUCUUCGUAGAAUAUGUAGGAGCCAAUAUGGGCAUCCAGGUUCCGCUAUUGGUUAUUGACCAGAGAGGUGUCUCGGUCAUGUCUACAUAGUUCUCGAACCCGUAGGGUCCGCACGCUUAACGUUCGUUGACGAUAUAGUAUUAUAUGAGUUAUGUAUGUUGGUGACCGAAUGUUGUUCGGAGUCCCGGAUGAGAUCACAGACAUGACGAGGAGCUCCGGAAUGGUCCGGAGGUAAAGAUUGAUAUAUAGGAUGAUAUGGUUCGGCCAAGGGGUGAAGCCCACGAGGCUUUAGGUCGGUGCAAAAGGAGUUUUGCAGAGGCCAGGGGGCCAAACGCCGGAGACCCUGGCGUCUGGCCCUGGGCCAGACGACGAGGCCCAUGGUGUCUAGGCCAGAUGCCAAGGAUUGUGGCGUUUGGUCCUGGAGUCCGAGUGGGACUCUUGCCUUUCAGGCAAAACCGACUUUGAGGAGGCUUUUGAUCCAAGUUUCGACCCUAGGGCUCAACAUAUAAAUAGAGGGGUAGGGCUAGCACCAAAGACACAUCAAGAAACACCAAGCCGUGUGCCGGCAACCCCGUCCCCUCUAGUUUAUCCUCCGUCAUAGUUUUCGUAGUGCUUAGGCGAAGCCCUGCGGAGAUUGUUCUUCACCAACACCGUCACCACGCCAUCGUGCUGCCGGAACUCAUCUACUACUUCGCCCCUCUUGCUGGAUCAAGAAGGCGAGGACGCCAUCGAGAUGAACGUGUGCUGAACGUGGAGGUGCCGUACGUUCGGUACUUGACCGGGACGGAUCGUGAAGGUGUACAACUACAUCAACCGCGUUGAUAAAUGCUUCCUCUUUCGGUCUAUGAGGGUACAUAGACACACUCUCCCCUCUCGUUGCUAUGCAUCUCCUAGAUAGAUCUUGCGUGAUCGUAGGAAUUUUUUUGAAAUACUGUGUUCCCCAACAGAUAGGUCAACAGUGCAUUGGCUCCAACUUUUGCAUACAACCUCAGAAUGAGAUGAUUUUAAUAUCAAAUCAAUCCCUUCGACGAGACAAAGACAAUCGUAUAUAAACUUUUCUCAUAUGAGGCUGUCUUGGAGGUCUAAUCGACCGAAUAGUACUCUACAUACAAAAUAUAGUACUUCGAGCACAACUUCGGCCCUUAAGAUGAGAUCGGGUGGCGAUGGCCUAAACUUCAAAGAUGUUCACGUCAACAAUACACAACUUUUUUAUGUAGAUCCCUCCUUCAUUUGAGGCCAUCUUAAUUAAGUUCUUGAUCGUGCCAAAAUCUGGUGUCAACACAUGCCCCCCUGUUUUUCGGAAAACUUGUGUGCCGAAAAAUAACUUGCACGAAGUUUGUUCUAAGCGCGAUGUCAACACUCCAUCGGCCAUUUUUUACGAGCUUAGGACGAUAAGUAUAUACCGGCCAUUUAGAUUAGCAACUAAAGUGAAGCUAAUCGAACAUAUGAUGAUUUGGUAAUACCCUUUCAUGAUGUAAGAAAUUAUAUUGCAUCCAUGGAUUAAAAUAAGCCCAUUGAGGGUAACCAAUCAUACCUAAUGAUGAAUUCCAUGGCAUAGGCAUCAAUGUCAUAGUUGAAGAAUAUGGAUAAUGUGUGGACCGAAGAUGUUAAAACCUUCGGCUUGGUCCUUCAUAGUUUUCACUCUUUUCCUUCUUCACCUUUGCCGCACUUCUUGUAAUGGAAGCUUGCACAUAAUUCUUAUUUUGAGUACUUCUUUUGGGAACCCAUGCCAUGUUCCUUUCUUCAAGUUCUUGUGCACUAAGUUUUUGUAAUUUGUUCUUUUGCCAAUAUGAUAAGCCGAGUGAGCACCUCGGCUGUGAUUUUGUUUGAAGCAAUGGCAAUUCUUGUUUUACCUUGUGCACUCUCAACUUCUUCUAUUCGGAUUUUGCACUUCAUUGACUUGCCUCAUUGCCUUUAGUAGCCAAUGUCAACACUUUAAUUGGCUCUUUUUCAUUUGAUAUAAAGACUGAAGUAGCAAUCUUACGACCAUCUUUUUUAACACGGUAAACUUGCUUGACCACCUCUUUCUUGUUCCUUGAGCUCCGGACCGAUUCCCUAUGAUUGAAACGGUCUUUGACAUGUGAUUGUUCAAAUGUUAAUCUUUUUGGAGCUGCAUAAUGUUUCCGAGAUGGUCUAAAAUAAGAUGAAGAUUGCGCCCUUGGAUCAUACCUGUCCCAUGAUGGAUAUGGAUUUACAUGAUCAUAUGAAGGUAUCCAUGGCAUUGGCAUUGGCGGCACAAAAUAUGGAUAUGAAUAUACUGCAUUAGAAUUCUCAUUUUGCCAAUACUGAUCCUCGGGUUUGUGCCUAGAGGGUGGUCUUGAUGCUCUUGAAUUACCUGGCCGAUAAGCACUGUUCCCGUCACUUAUCUUCUGAUAUUUUUCCAAUAGUUGCGCGAAAGUGACUUUCGGCUAUUUACCUUUGUGCUUACCUCGGCCUUUGCUUUCUUUGGUUGUGCUUGCACCGAUCUUUGGAUUUUCUUAUUGCCCCCAGUACUUGGCAUUUUUUGUGCAACCUUGAUGGAAUUCCCGCCUUCAAGAAUAUUUGCAUUCUUCUCUUGAAGAACUUCUUUAAUUGAAAACUUGAUCCCAUCAUCCACAGUUUUUACCUUCUCAUCUUUAAAUGGAUCGACUUGAAGCAGCCGAUGCAAAAAAUCGUUUGCCAUCAGGACCAAUCAGAAUAAACUGGUCAUCUCUUGGUGUCUCAACAAAUUUCAGUCGUCCUUUAUGAAUGGCCGAUUUAACUAUUGGAUGAAACAUAUUGCAAUCCUCAAAAGUAUGUUUGAACGAAUGACGCAACUUACAAUACAUUCAUCCUUGAAUUGAUGGCUUGACAUGGUGAUCAAGAAUUCUUAUGUAAUUAUUUUUCAGCAACAAAUCAAAUAUUUGAUCACACAUGCUUGAAUUGAAGGUAAAAAAUUUAUUCUCUAGCCGAUCUGCUGUGAGAACGACCUUGGACUUAAGCAAGCAAAUGGUUCAUAUUUUGCAUUACCCCAUUCGGCUAUGCAUUGUGUUUUGCACUCUAUCUCCGAUGUCUUUGAAAAGGAAUUAUACUAUCAUCGGUUUUCUCAACAGAGUAUAACCUUGGAUUUAAAUUUCUGAAGUCAAAGUAGUUAGAACAUACAUGUAUCAAUUGAGACCAUGCGUAAGCCAAGUAUGAAGCAAGCAAAGUUACCCAAUUAGAUAUGAACUUUAAAUAAAGCAAUGGGAAUUUUUUUUGGCUGCAAUAAUAAGUCACUAUCGGUCUUUAUAAGUGGCACAAUAGUUGACCGAUUUGUUCUAUAAAAAAUUAUUGCUAACAAGUAAAUUACCCUUCUUCAUUGGUCUUUCAAAAUUACAUAUGAGAAUUUUUCUUAUAGAAGCAUCAACAAUAAAGUUGCGACCAAAUCGGAAGAUAGGUAAAUCACUUUCCAGACAUACCUUUUCAAACACGUUGGGAAAGCAUGAUGGUUGCGUUAAUUGAACGAUAGGUUGUUCCUCUUUUGAAUAUCUCCCCAACACCUUGUCGUCCUGUUUUUCUAAAACAGAUCCGGCAUACGUAAUAUUUGAUUCGUUCUUUUCAAUAACCGAAUUAACUUUUUUAUUUGAAUCACCACUUUUUUUGAUAAUUCUAUGCACACCCAAUGCUUUCUCUUUUUGACAUAAUCUAGCUUGUAUUGCAGCAGAAUUAAUAGGUUUUCCCUCUUUUAUUAGUUCAUGUAGAACAACAUUGCAUUCGUCCCAAAAAGACGUAAGAUUUUUCUUAAUGACCCGAUCUGGAUAAAAUUGUCCCCCGACAAUUUUAGACUCUUUCGGUAACGAGAUGUUGCCAAAUUCUAUAAUUGUGCAGGGAAAACAUUGUAUGCUAUGAUACUAGGUGAACACACAUGUGAUCCUAUAGAAUUUUCACUUAUUUGGCUAUUAGUGUGAAGGUGCGAAGCCGAAUUAUGAAUACCUAUAGUUGCAUAUGGUGCCAAAAAAUUAGUAGCAUGAGGUGUAGUAUAUGAUGAUUGAGGGUAACUAGCUGGAUAACUAGUAGUAGCAUGGCCAAUUCCCCUAUCCACCGACAUGUUUGGAUUAACAUAUUGCAAGUUAGUUGCCGAUGAAUAAAAAGGUGAAACACUUUGUUGCAUACUAUCGGAAGUUCCUAUGUGAGGUGUUUCAACUUGAUUAACCGAACUCAUCAUGUUGUUCAUCGGCAUAUGGACUUGUGGGGUUGCCGAUGCAUGGGAGAUGGAAAACAUAUGUUGCAUGUUGCUAAAAUUAUAUGUGGUAGAAGCAUGAAGAUAUUGUUGCAUCGGCUCUUGCACAUGAUUAGAUGCAUGAUUGAUAAAGCUAGGGGUAGCCGAUACAUUAUGCUUAUUAGAUGAUCUAGCAACAACAUAUGCAUUAUUUGCAUCUGCAUGUGUGAAUCGGGUAUUCAUAUUACCUUUGUAGAUUGCAAAACCUAGAUGACGCUCUCUUCGUAGCAAGAACGGGCCGUAGACCAUUCAAAGCUUCAUUCCCCAGCGGAAUCGCCAAAAAGUUUGUUCGCACACGAACAUGUCACCGAUUACCCACGACACCGGGGUGAUGCACCGUAGCUCACGUCGAAGGAGACCCAGCCGGAAGCGCGGUACGCAAGCAAUCCGGCGGGCGCUUUUGUAGACCCAAAGCCCCACACGCCCGGGAGGGACCCAUCUGGGCAGGCGGCGGCUAUGGGCUGCCCUAGGUCGACCUGACCGCCCCUAGAGCCUCGUGGAUUCAAAGCCCUCCAUUGCUGAAGAACGACAAAGAAUGAGAAGAAAGAUGCAAGGGUGGGGGAUACAUGAACACGAAAAAGUAGUAGAUGUGUUUGUUCGAUUGUGUGUUGUUUAAUCGGCCAUCACCUCUCAUCUAUUUAUGAGGCGGCUGGACUUUCCGUACAAGAGAAGGACUCCAAAUCUCGUUCAAAUCCUUUCAAAAUUAGCCGAACUCGGAUUAGGCAUGUCUAAGAUAGUAGUUUGGUUUUUGUGUUUCAUAGGCCAAAUACGACCUCGGAUGAAGGUGCGCCCAAAAGAAGUUUAACUGCUUAGACGAGAUGAACAACUUUUGUGUUGAACGUUUUUCGAUUCGAGCCCAUCUUGAGGAUCGAAUGGCUCGCGCGACCCAUCAGACAUCGUGUCUGAUGCCCCGGGCCAGUUUUUACUCAUGAUAGGUCAGGAGUGCAUUGGCUCCAACUUUUGCAUACGACCUCGGAAUGAGACAAUUUUUAUAUCAAAAUCGAUCGUUUCGAUGGCAUGAAUACAAUCGUAUAUAAACUUUUCUCAUAUGAGGCUGUCUUGGAGGUCUAAUCAAUAGAACAGUACUCUACAUACAAAAUCUAGUACUUCGAGCACAACUUCGGCCCUUGAGAUGAGAUCGGAUGGCGGUGGAUCAAACUUCAAAGAUGUUCACGUCGACAAAAGAACUUUUUUAUGUAGAUCACUCCUUCAUUUGAGGCCAUCUUAAUUAAGUUCUUGACAGUGCCAAAAUCUGGUGUCAACGCUCUCAUCGUGGGAGGACCAAUCCUCAUCAACAUCUUCACCAGCACCAUCUCAUCUCAAACCCUAGUUCAUCUCUUGUAUUCAAUCUUUGUCUUAAAAACCUUAGAUUGGUACAUGUGGAUUGCUAUUAGUGUUGAUUACAUGUUGUGGUUGAUGCUAGUUGGUUUAUUUGGUGGAAGAUUAUAUUUUCAGAUCCUUGAUGAUAUUCAAUACCCCACUGAUCUUGAACAUGAAUAUGAUUUGUGAGUAGUUACUUUUUUUCUUGAGGACAUGGCAGAAAUCUUGUCAUAAGUAAUCAUGUGAAUUUGGUAUUCGUUUGAUAUUUUGAUGAUAUGUAUGUUGUGAUUCCCUUAGUGGUGUUAUUUGAACGUCGACUACAUGACACUUCACCAUCUUUGGGCCUAAGAGAAGCCAUUGUGGAGUAGUUAUUACAUGAUGGGUUGCUAGAAUUACAGAAGCUUAAACCCUAGUUUAUGUGCUAUUCCAUAAGGGGCUGAUUUGGAUCCAUAUGUUUCAUGCUAUGGUUAGAUUUAUCUUAAUUCUUCUUUCGUAGUUGUGGAUACUUGCGAGAGGGGGUAAUCAUAAAUGGGAGGUCUAUUCAAGUAAGAACAGCACCCAAGCACUGGUCCACCCACGUAUAAAAUUAUCAAAGUAACGAACGUGAAUCAAACAAACAUGGUGAAAGUGAGUAAAUGGAAUUCCCGUGUGUCCUCAAAAGCACUUUGCUUAUUAUAAGAGACCGUUUUGGAAUGUCCUUUGCUAAAAAGGAUUGGGCUACCUUGCUGCACUUUUGUUGUCGUUACUACUUAUUGCUCCUUACAAAUUACCUUGCUACCAAACUAUCUGUUAUCAACAAUAAUUCAGUGCCUGCAAAUAAUACCUUGCUGAAAACCGCUUGUCAUUUCCUUCUGCUCCUCAUUGGGUUUGACACUCUUAGUUAUUAAAAGGACUAAGAUUGAUCCCCUAUACUUGUGGGUCAUCAGUGCCAACACGUGUGACUUUCCUGCCAAAUGUUAGGACGUCAAGAAUAAAUGACAGGGAAGCAACUCCAAGCGCCUCCUCGACAUCUUCUACAUAUACUGCUCACUAGGUAUGUCUAGCUUUUGAGGCCCUCAUGGGCGUAGGUGCAAGUUAAGGCCCAACGUGUGGUGGCAUGAUGCUAUGCCACCACUCAAGUUCCUAGUGGUCAUUGUACCUCCACAUUGUCAUAAGUAACAACCAAUUUUUAGCCCCGGGCAAUGAGACAAGUUUUCAGUCUCAUCACAAUGCAUUCGUUAGUCCGGAUAGCUCACUGUUAUGACUUUCAAUAUGCUCGGGGUCGGAAUCUAGACUCAAGAAACAAAGAUGCCAAAGGCUGAUGCGCCCAAGCCCUCAGAAAACAUCUAGGAGAAGGCUCAUAGAGGAAGCAGUUAGAUCAUACUUCCCAGACUUUUUUCCUCUGGGUAGCAAACUCUAACCUCAAUUCACGUAUUGGUGGGGGCAUGUCGGUGAUUAAGGGUACCUACUCAGAAGGGAAUGCCCAAGGGCACAUCCGACCAAGUCACUUGAAAGAGUGACUAACGACUCCAAGUCAUGCGCCCUGCUACCCCUGAGCAUACACUUGGAGGGGAUAAGGAUUUGACGUGCUAAGUUGGGGAUCUGGCAAUUUGAGGAGAUAUACUCUGUGUAAUUCUUGGGAUCCCCUAAUCAUAUCGUAUCAAAAAACUACAAAACUAUUGACUCUCGCGCGCCUAUAUAAAGGACUAGUGAGACUGUGUUGGGGACUGUUUGUACCAAAGCUUUUGCUCAUAGCCUAUCUAAGGGUCGGCUGGUGGGCUGCCGGAGGUCGGCUUGGGCGGCCAGUGGACCACCGGUGGGUUCGAGCCGUGGCAGCGAUGCCUCGGCGGCUGGUGGUUCCUUCUGUCCGUUGCCUACUGUCCCAUCUAGGUGUGCUCCAAUCUCACCAGGCUUGGUCGUGCUAGCUAUCUAGCCGGUCACCGGUUUGUGGGCGAAGCGGGAGGUGGGGAUCCAGAUCGAGAAAAUUCCUUUGUCGAUUCCUGUAGGACACGACAACGACUCCCGUGGGUGUUGAUAUUCUUGUAGGAGAUGUCGUUUGGGUCUGCCCUACACUGCUUCUCGGAUGAAAACCCUAACUGCGGUGGGCAGAGGCAACGCUCAAGGCGUCAUGUCCUUCUUGAAGGUGUCAACGUGAGAGCUUUGUGAUGGUGGGCACCAUUCGGUUCUGUUGGCACGUGCACAUGACAUGCCCCUUUUCCUCCAGGGGAAACCCUAGAUCAGGGUCUCCCAGAUUGGAUGAUGACGGAGAUCGCGGUAUCGUUUUCCCUCCCAAUGGCAUUGUUUUGGAGCAAAGGUUCACUGGAACAGCCAACAGGUGGAGCGGUGUUGCAUCUACCGCAUUGAAGAUGGCGGGUCUCGACGGCAUGGUGAAGUGGAGUCUUGGUGUUGGACGCGGUUUAAUGGACGCGCAUAGGCUGGUGGUGUUGUCGGGCAUCGUGGUGAUGUCGAUGGCAAAUGGGUCUGGCAAGCUCUAUGAAAUGAUCUCUCCUGAAGAUGGGAUGCUAGAAGAUGGCGGCGGCAUAUCCUAGAGCGUGCGCAUGUGGUGCGUGUUGUGGGACGCCUAGACCGGUUGGUGCUCUCAGCUUGCCAGGCAGGCGGCUUCUUGAGGCCACUGGGUUAGAUGGUGACCGGUGAUGCAGUCAGGGCACAUCUUUAUAUAUACUUGUAAUUGUAGUGAUUUUUUGCCUCGAAGGUGGCUUUGGGUUGAUCUUUGUAUUUAUUUUGUCGGGCUCUGUUAAAUAACUUAAUAAAGAUGACUCAUGCAUCACUUUUAUGCAUAGACCGAGGUAAUCCUCCUUCUUUUUAAGAUAAGAGUAACACCAAUGGUGCGUAUCAAAAUAGACACACUAAACGUCUGUGGACACAUCUCCAUGGAUAAGGGAUAGGUGGUGACCAUCCAAUCAUAUUCACCGAAUGUCCGCCCCUCGGGGAGACGAGGGAGAAAAAAUGUGUUUGUGAUGGGUCCAAGGCAUUGUCCACAAUGUGUUCAGACUCCUACAAUCGGACUCUCACAAACCACCUCUACGUUUGAUACCGGUUUGUAUGAUUUUGAACAUUUUUUUGUGUCUACUAAUACGUCUCCAACGUAUCUAUAAUUUUUGAUUGUUCCAUGCUAUUUUAUUAUCUAGUUUGGGUGUUUUAUAUGCAUUAAUAUGCUAUUUAUAUAAUUUUUGGGACUAACAUAUUAACCUAGAGUGCAGUGCCAGUUUCUGUUUUUUCCUUGUUUCGAGCUUCGCAGAAAAGGAAUACUAAACGGAGUCCAAAUAGAAUAAAACCUCACGAUGAAUUUUCUUGGACCAGAAGACACCCAGGAGACUUAGAGUGCAAGUCAAAAGAGCCACGAGGUGGCGGCAAGGGUGGAGGGCGCGCCCCUACCUUGUGGGCCCCUCGGUGACUCCCUAACCUAGAUCUUCCUCCUAUAUAUUCACAUAUAUUCCAAAACCACCAGAAGCAUCCACGAAAACAUUUUUCCACCGCCGCAACCUUCUGUGCCCAUGAGAUCCCAUCUUGGGGCCUUUUCCGGCAUCCUUCCGGAGGGGGGUUCGAUCACGGAGGGCAUCUACAUCAACUCUAUUGAUCUCCCGAUGAAGCGUGAGUAGUAUACCUCAGACCUACGGGUCCAUAGCUAGUAGCUAGAUGGCUUCUUCUCUCUCUUUGAUUCUCAAUACCAUGUUCUCCUCGAUGUUCUUGGAGAUCUAUUCGAUGUAAUCUUCUUUUGUGGUGUGUUUGUCGAGAUCCGAUGAAUUGUGGAUUCAUGAUCAACUUAUCUAUGAAUAUUAUUUGAAUCUUCUCUGAAUUCUUAUAUGCAUGAUUUGGUAUCUUUGUAUUUCUCUUCGAAUUAACGGUUUGGUUUGGCCAACUAGAUUGGUUUUUCUUGCAAUGGGAGAGGUGCUUAGCUUUGGGUUCAAUCUUGCGUGAUUUCACCCAGUGACAAAGUAGGGGUAGCGAGACACGUAUUGAAUUGUUGCCAUCGAGGAUAAAAAGAUGGGGUUUUCAUCAUAUUGCUUGAGUUUAUUCCUCUACAUCAUGUCAUCUUACGUAAGGCGUUACUCCGUUCUUUAUGAACUUAAUACUCUAGAUGCAUGCUAGAUAGCGGCCGAUGUGCGGAGUAAUAGUAGUAGAUGCAGGCAGGAGUCGGUCUACUUGACACGUACGUGAUGCCUAUAUUGCAUAAUCGUUGCCUUGGAUAUCGUCAUAACUUUGCGCUUUUCUAUCAAUUGCUCGAUAGUAAUUUGUUCACCCACCGUAUUAUUUGCCUUCAUGAGAGAAGCCUCUAGUGAAACGUAUGGCCCCCGGGUCUAUUUUCCAUCACAUUAGUUUCCGACCUACUAUUUUGCAAUCUUUUAUUUUUAGAUCUAUAAACCAAAAAACCCAAAUAUAUUUUAUCUCUUGUUUAGUUUUAUCUAUCUCUAUCAGAUCUCACCUUUGCAAGUGACCGUGAAGGGAUUGACAACCCCUUUAUCGCGUUGGGUGCAAGUGUUUGAUUGUUUGUGCAGGUACAUAUAUUGGGGACUUGCGCGUUUCUCCUACUGGAUUGAUACCUUGGUUCUUAGCUGAGGGUAAUACUUAUCUCUACUGUGCUGCAUCACCCUUUCCUCUUCAAGGGAAAAACCAACGCCAGCUCAAGAAGUAGCAGGAAGAAUAUCUGGCGCCGUUGCCGGGGAGAUCUACGUCAAGCCUACCAAGUACCCAUCAUAAAACUCUCAUCCAAGGUUGGAAAAAGCGGUAGCUGUAAGCGAGGCAGUUGGCCUUUGCCUAGUGCCUAGGCGGUGCUUAAGCACCCUAGGCGCGGCCUAGGCGGUAAUAUAGUUUUACUAUCAGGAUGUAUUGCGAGUAUUAUAUCUGUGUAGAUAUUUAUUUAGGGCAAAUAAAUAAGUUAAUUUCGAGCUACUCCCAUUAGAAUAUGACCCGUUUGGAAUACCAGUGCAAUAUGGCAUGAUUCUUCACUUGGGUAGACAAUUCCUUGCUUGCCCUGCCUAGACUUCCAUUUAUGCCCUAGGCGAGGCGUUUGGCCAUCACCUAGCACCUAGGCGUGCCUAAGCGCCUCCUAGGCACUGCCUUUUCCAACAGAGCUCUCAUCUCUUGCAUUACAUUAUUCUCCAUUUGCCUCUUGUUUUCCUCUUCCCCCACUUCUAAAAUGAUUUUCAAAAAGAUUUGCCUUUUUAUUUUCCCUUCUUCCAUUUGUCUUUUCAUUUGCCUUUAUGUCUUACUUGGUUUGUUUGCUCGUACGCUUGGUAUUGUGUGUUUAUUGAAAAUCAGAAACCAAAAAGUUUAUGGAUCCUCAUCCACUUGCCAAUCUUUUUAAGAGAUCCAACUAUGAUGAACCAAUUGCUAGUGAGUUGAGUGCACUAGAUUGUCUUUACGAAGUUUUGCUUGAGAUUCGUGAAUCUGAAAAUUGUGAUGAAGUGUUAAGAAGAAAUUUAUGAAGUGAUACAUGAUAGCUCCUUCAAUGAAAAGCAUGAUUGCAAUGAUGUUAUUAUGAAUUCUACGAAUGUCAGUUGUGCUAAGAAUAUGCAAAACCCUAAUCUUGGGGAUGCUAAUUUUGCUAUGUCUACUACUUGUUGCAAUGAUCAUGAUUGGGGUGAUUCUUCUUAUGAUCUUGAAAUUUUAUUUAAGCCCCAUGAUGAAUAUGAGAUUGAUAAUAAUGUUUGCAAUAAUAUUGAAAGUGGGUUUGGAAGAGUGUCAACUUUAGAUCCCACAUAUUUGGAGAAUGUUCAAUCUUAUGAUUUUUUUUAUAAAAGUGGGUUUGGAGAGGUCAUGACUUUAGUUAAUGUUAAUCCCACUAUUUUGGAAGAGUGUCAACUUAGCAUGCAUGUGGAUCCUGUUGAGAAUAUGUUAUGUGAUAGCUAUAUCAUUGAAUUUGCUUAUGAUCCUACAUGUAAUUAUUAUGAGAGAGGAAAAUAUGGUUGUAGAAAUUUUCAUGUUACUAAAUUACCUCUCUUCGUGUUGAGAUUGCUAUCGUCUCUUUCUUCUUCCUUGCAUAUGCUAGUUUUUGCUUGCCUUGAUAAUUUGUUUGCUUAUAAAAUGCCUAUGCAUAGGAAGUAUGUUAGACAUAGAUGUGUUUGUCACGUGUUUUAUGAUGCUCUCUUUGUGCUUCAAUUCUUCUCUUUUAUGUGAGCAUCAUUGAAAUUAUCAAUGUCUAGCUAAAAGGCUUUAAAGGAAAGCGCUUGUUGGGAGAUAACCCAAUAUUUUUCCUUAUUGUUUUGCAAUAAAUAAUUCAUCUAGACUCUGGUUAGAUGUGUUUAUGUGUUUUAAUUAGUGUUUGUGCCAAGUAAGACCUUUGGGAUGGCUUACAGUGAUAGUUGAUUUGAUCUUGCUGAAAAACAGAAAAUUUUGCGCCCAGUACAAUAAUUUUAAUAAUUCAUAGAAGAGUGAUUUUGAUGUGAAUUUUUUACACAAUAUUGACAUACAAAUUUCCCAGGUUUUCCUAAUGUUUCAGAAUUUUUGGAGUUACAGAAAUAUUCGAAUUUUCAGAUUGCUACAGACUGUUCUGUUUUUGACAGAUUCUGUUUGAUAUGUGUUGUUUGCUUAUUUUUAUGAAUCUAUGGGUAGUAUCGGGGGGUAUGAACCAUGGAGAAGUUGGAAUACAGUAGAUAUUACACCAAUAUAACUAAAUAAUGAGUUCACAACAGUACCAUAAAGUGGUGAUUUACUUUCUUAUACUAAUGGAUCUCAUGAGUUUUCUGUUGAGUUUUGUGUUGUGAAGUUUCCAAGUUUUGGGUAAAGAUUUGAUGGACUAUGGAAUAAGGAGUGGAAAGAGCCUAAGCUUGGGGAUGCCCAAGGCACCCCAAGGUAAUAUUCAAGGACAAUCAAGAGCCUAAGCUUGGGGAUGCCCCGGAAGGCAUCCCCUCUUUCGUCUUCGUCUAUCGGUAACUUUAGUUGAGGCUAUAUUUUUAUUCACCACAUGAUAUGUGUUUUACUUGGAGCGUCUUGUAUGAUACGAGUCUUUGCUUUUUAGUUUGCCACAAUCAUCCUUGCUGUACACACCUUUUGAGAGGGACACCCAUGAAUCAUGAUUUAUUAGAAUACUCUAUGUGCUUCACUUAUAUCUUUUGAGCUAGGCAAUUUUGCUCUAGUGUUUCACUUAUAUCUUUUUAGAGCACGACGGUGGCUUCAUUUUAUAGAAAUUGUUUAACUCUCAUGCUUCACUUAGAUUAUUUUGAGAGUCUCUUUAAACAGCAUGGUAAUUUUCUUAUGUUAUGAAUUUAGUCCUAAUAUGAUAGGCAUCCAAGAGGGAUAUAAUAAAAACUUUCAUAUAAAGUGAAUUGAAUACUAUGAGAAGUUUGAUUCCUUAUGAUUGUCUUGAGAUAUGAGGAUGGUGAUAUUAGAGUCAUGCUAGUGAGUAAUUGUGGAUUGUAGAAAUACUUGUGUCGAGGUUUGUGAUUCCUGUAGCAUGCACGUAUGGUGAACCGUUAUGUAACGAAGUUGGAGCAUGAUUUAUUUACUGAUUGUCUUCCUUAUGAGUGGCGGUCGGGGGCGAGCGAUGGUCUUUUCCUACCAAUCUAUCCCCCUGGGAGCAUGCGCGUAGUACUUUGUUUCGAUGACUAAUAGAUUUUUGCAAUAAGUAUGUGAGUUCUUUAUGAAUAAUAUUGAGUGCAUGGAUUAUACGCACUCACACCCUUCCACCAUUGCUAGCCUCUCUAGUACCGCGUAACAUUCGCCGGUGCCAUACACCGACCAUAUACCUUCCUCAAAACAGCCACCAUACCUACCUAUUAUGGCAUUUCCAUAGCCAUUCCAAGAUAUAUUGCCAUGCAACUUCCGCCGUUCCGUUUAUUAUGACACGCUUCAUCAUUGUCAUAUUGCUUUGCAUGAUCAUGUAGUUAACAUAGUAUUUUUGGCAAAGCCACCGUUCAUACAUGUCACUCUUGAGUCAUUGCACAUCCCAGUACACCGCUGGAGGCAUUUAUAUAGAGACAUAUUUUGUUCUAAGUAUCGAGUUGUAAUUCUUGAGUUGUAAGUAAAUAAAUGUGUGAUGAUCUUCAUUAUUAGAGCAUUGCCCCAUGUGAGGAAAAAUAAAAAAGGCCAAAGAAGCCAAUUAAAAAAAGAGAGAAAAGAGAGAAGGGGCCAUGUUACUAUCCUUUUUCCACACUUGUGCUUCAAAGUAGCACCAUGAUCUUCAUGAUAGAGAGUCUCCUAUGUUGUCACUUUCAUAUACUAGUGGGAAUUUUCCAUUAUAGAACUUGGCUUGUAUAUUCCAACGUUGGGCUUCCUCAAAUUGCCCUAGGUCUUCAUGAGCAAGCAAGUUGGAUGCACACCCACUUAGUUUCUUUUUUGAGAUUUCAUAAACUUAUAGCUCUAGUGCAUCUGUUGCAUGGCAAUCCCUACUCACUCACAUUGAUAUCUAUUUAUGGUCAUCUCCAUAGCCCGUUGAUACGCCUAGUUGAUGUGUGACUAUCUCCUUCUUUUUGUCUUCUCCGCAACCACCAUAUUCUAUUCCACCUAUAGUGCUAUGUCCAUGGCUCACACUCAUGUAUUGCGUGAAAGUUGAAAAGGUUUGAGAACAUCAAAAGUAUGAAACAAUUGCUUGGCUUGUCAUCGGGGUUGUGGAUGAUUUGAAUAUUUCCUAUGAUGAAGAUGGAGCAUAGCCAGAUAUAUGAUUUUAUAGGGAUAACUUUCUUUGGCCAUGUUAUUUUUAGAAGACAUGAUUGCUUUAUUAGUAUGCUUGAAGUGUUAUCAUUUUUAUGUCAAUAUUAAAAUUUUGUUUUGAAUCUCAUGGAUAUGAAAAUUCAUGCCACAAUAAAGAAAAUUACAUAGAUAAAUAUGUUAGGUAGCAUUCCACAUCAAAAAUUCUAUUUUUAUCAUUUAGCUACUCGAGGACGAGAAGGAAUUAAGCUUGGGGAUGCUUGAUACGUCUCCAACGUAUCUAUAAUUUUUGAUUGUUCCAUGCUAUUAUAUUAUCUGUUUUGGAUGUUUUAUAUGCAUUAAUAUGCUAUUUUAUAUUAUUUUUGGGACUAACCUAUUAACCUAGAGCCCAGUGCCAGUUUCUGUUUUUCCUUGUUUUUGAGCUCCGCGGAAAAGGAAUACUAAACGGAGUCCAAAUGGAAUAAAACUUCACUAUGAUUUUUCUUGGACCAGAAGACACCCAGGAGACUUGGAGUGCAAAUCAGAAGAGCCAGGAGGCGGCGACAAGGGUGGAGGGUAAUAACCCACAAGUAUAGGGGAUCGCAACAGUUUUUGAGGGUAUAGUAUUCAACCCAAAUUUAUAGAUUCGACACAAGGGGAGCCAAAGAAUAUUUGAAGGUAUUAGCAGCUGAGUUGUCAAUUCAACCACACCUGGAGAUUAAUUAUCUGCAGCAAGUAAUCAGUAGCAAAGUAGUACUAGUAGCAACGGUAACAGUAACAGUGAUAGCAGUAUUUUGUAGCAAUUGUAAUAGUGAUGGUAACAGUAGUAACUUAGCAAGAACAAUAUAAGAUAAAUUCGUAGUCAUUGGAUCGGUGACUUGUUGGAUGAUAUUCAUCAUGAGACAGUUAUAACCUAGGGCAAUACGGCACUAGCUCCACUUCGUCAAUAUAAUCUAGGCAUGUAUUCCGUAAAUAGUCAUACGUGCUUAUGGAAAGAACUUGCAUGACAUCUUUUGUCCUACCCUCCCGUGGCAGCGUGGUCCAUAUUGGAAACUAAGGGAUAUUAAGGCCUCCUUUUAAUAGAGAACCGGAACAAAGCAUUAACACAUAGUUAAUAGACGAACUCCUCAAACUACGGUCAUCAUCGGGAGUGGUCCCGACUAUUGUCACUCCGGGGUUGCCGGAUCAUAACACGUAGUAGGUGACUAUAACUUGCAAGAUCGGAUCUAGAACAUGGAUAAAAUUGUGAUAACAUAAACAGUUCAGAUCUGAGUUCAUGGCACCCGGGCCCAAAGUGACAAGCAUUAAGCAUAGCAAAGUCAUAGCAACAUCAAUCUAGGAACAUAAUGGAUACUACGGAUGAAGCCCUAACAAAACUAACUCGAUUACAUGAUGAAUCUCAUCCAACUCCUCACCGACCAGCGAGCCUACGAAGGAAUUACUCACUCCCGGUGGGGAGCAUCAUGGAAUUGGCGAUGGAGAAGGGUUGGUGAUGACGAAGAACGAAGAUCCCCCUCUUCGGAGCCCCAAACGGACUCCAGAUCUAGCCUCUCGAUAAAGAACAGGAGGUGACGGCGGCUCCGUCUCGUGGAUUGCGAUAAUUCUUUCUCCCUGAUUUUUUCUGGAAAAAUAGGAUUUUAUAGCGUCGGUUUCAGGGUCUGCGGGGACAUCAGGUGGGGACAACCCACCUGGGUGCGCAAGGAGAGGGGGCACGCCUUGGUGGGUUGUGCCCACCCAGGGCCCCUCUCCGGUAGGUCUUGGCUCCAGAAAUUCUGAUUUAUUAUAGAAAAAUUCCUCGCAAAGUUUCAUUCCAUUCUGAGAACUUUUAUUUCUGCACAAAAACAACACCAUGGUAGUUCUGCUAAAAACAGCGCCAUUCCGGGGGUAGUUUCAUUCAAUUCAUGCAAAUUAGAUUCCAAAACAAGAGGAAAAGCAUUAGGAAAAGUAGAUAUGUUGCAGACGUAUCAACUCCCCCAAGCUUAAACCUUUGCUUGUCCUCAAGCAAUUCAGUUGAUAAACUGAAAGUAAAAAAAAGAAAAACUUUUACGAACUCUUUUGCUCUUGUUUGCAUAAAUAAGCUUAAACAACACCCAGAUUUUCGGCCAACAUUAUAACUAACCAUGCCGACAAUAACUCUUAAAGAUUAUAUUAACUCAUAUCAAUGACAUAAUCAGCUAGCGAGCAAUAAUAAGAUAUCUCAAACAGCAACACGUUGUCAAAACAACCAUGAUAUAAUAUGACAAUAGUGGUAUCUCGCUAGCCCUUUCCGAGACCGCAAAACAUAAAUGCAGAGCACCUCCAAAGUUCAAGCAGCGACUAGACAUUGUAAUUCAAGGUAGAAAAGAUCCAGUCAUGAUGCACCCAACAUUAGCUACACACAAGGCAUAAGUCAUGACAGCCGUGCUCUCAGGUUCUGGCGCUUGUUUUAGAAGGUGAUGAAACAACAUAAAAAUAAAUAGAUAGUCCCUUCGCAGAGGGAAGCAGUGAUUUGCAAAGGUGCCAGAGCUCAAGUUUUAAAACAGAGGUAAAUGAUAUUUUGAGACAUGCACCCUUCUCAUUCACUUCACGACCAUCAGUUAUCAAUAUCUUCCAUGCUAAGCACCCUAGUGGCGGUUCCCAAGCGAUAAAAGUAAAGAUUUACUCCCCCUCCACCAUCAAUCACACUCCAUGGCUUGUCCGAAACAACGGGUGUCAUCCAUACCAACAACAGUCCCAGGGGAGUUUUGUUUAAUUAUUGGCAUUUUUGAGUUCGGGACUGGGAAUCCCUAUUACCGCCCUUUUCUCGUGCGAUGGCAAGUGAAUAAACACUUGACCUGAGAAUAACCCGCUUAGCAUGGAAGAUACUGACCACCUCCUGUCGUUCCAUGAACGAUCCAGGCACACAAAAGGAUAUUUAUUUGAAGUUUUUAGAGGUUGCACAUGCAAAUUUACUUAGGACGGUAGGGUAAUACCGCAUAUAGGUAGGGAUGGUGGAUUCAUCUGGGAUAACUUUGGGUUCAAGGUUUUUGAUGUACAAGAAGAAUUCCCACUUAGUACAGGCGAAGGCUAGUAAAUCGAUUGAGAAGCGGCCAGCUAGAGAGCAACAACGGUCAUAAACAUGCAUUAUGCAUAAGUAACAUUGGACACUAGCAUGAGUAGGAUAUGAACACCAUGAACAUAAAUAUCAUAGAGGCUAUGUUGAUUUUGAUUCAACUACAUGCAUGAACAUGUGCCAAGUCAAGCCACUUGAACAUUCAGAGGAGGAUACCAUAUCAUCAUACUACAUCACAAUCAUUUUAAUGCAAUGUUGAUAUCCAAGAUAAAUCAUUAUCCACUCCUAGCUACUUAUGCAUGGCAUGAGAAACUAUAAUCUCUAAUUGUCAUUGCAAACAUGUUUAAUCAUAAUGGGCUGAAUCAUGGAUACUAGGUUAAACAUAUUUACACGAACAGAACAAGUCGAGUUCAUACCCGUUUCUCUCUGCCACGGCCAGUUCAUCGAAUGUCGUCAUUAUUGCCUUUCACUUGCACGAUCGAACGAUAAGAAAAUAAUAAUAGUGCAAGAGUGUCGUGGACUAAGCUGGAAUCUGCAAACAUUUUAUUCAAUAGGAGAAGACAAGGUAAAAUGGGAUCUUUAUUAGAUUAAAAUUAAUUCAUAUGAGAGCCACUCAGCAUUUUCAUCGUGAUCUUCUCCUCGGUAAGACUCGAAUAAAAAGAGAAGAAAUUCAGAGAAACACAUUGAAAUAUUUUCGGAGUUUUUAGUUUUCUUGAACAAGCAAAUAAAAGGGAAAAGCAAAGAAAAUGAGAAAAACUAUUUACACGGGAAAGCUCCCAACAAGCAAAAGAAGAACAAGGAAAUCUUUUUGGGUUUUCCUUUAAGUGCUACUACUAAGCAUGCAUAGAAAGUAAACUACUACAACUAUUUUUUUUGGUUUUUCUGAAGUUUUUCAAACACACAAGAAGAAGGCAAGAAAAUAAAUCUAAGCAUGGAUGAUACAAAGAAAAAGUGUGAACACCGACAAAUAGAAAUAAGUGGACAUGAAUGUAAUGUCGGUGAGAAACACGUAGUCCCCCAAGCUUAGGCUUUUGGCCUAGCUUGGUAGUCGAUCAGUAGCCUGGAUGGUAGUGGGGGUACUGAGGAGUAGGCAUCCACUCAUCCCACUGCUGAGGCUCCUCCUCAGCCUCUGCAGUAGCCUAAGCGUUUUGGUAGGCGAUGAUGUCCGCAGGCAUAAUCCUAUAUCUGCCCCUGGCAACAGAAUCAAAAAAGCAGGUGCAGGCAAAGGAAUAAUAUCACGAGUUUCAAUGCUAAAAACCAGGUUAUAAGGAAUAGGAAUGUUAGGAUAAUCUCGUGCAAGAAAAUGAUGGUGUUCCAUGGCUGCGCAGUCUAGGUAAACCUUGGUCAGAGGGUAAUCAUGAGGGCAUAUCUCAACAUUAAAGUGAGCCGCCAAACAAGUAGCAAAAAUCCCACCAUGUAUUUUACCCUGGGAUUUAUUAAUAUGGAGGCGACGAGCCACAAUACCUCCCAAGAUAUAAGUGUUGUCUCCCUCUAAUGCACGAUGUAAAACAACAAGGUCUGGUGAACUAAGUGCACCCACCUUCUCUCUAGCAAGCAAGCAUUUUGUAAUGAAAAGUGCAAAGUAAUGAACAGAAGGAAAAUGCAAGCCAGGGGCAGCGGUAGCUGACACCCCUCUCUCAUCUCUUACUGUCAAAGUGCGAUAAAAGGCCUCAAACCCAGUUGGCCUAGGCUCAGCUAAGCUCCCAUCAGAAGGGAUCAUGCAUAUGUUACAAAAUUCAGUGAGUGGUAUCUGAUGGUUUUCAGCAUAUAAAUCAAAGCUCACUUCAGGGGGAUUAUUCCUAGGAAAGAAAGUAAAACUUUGAACAAAGAUGUUUGUGAGGAGAUGAAACUGUUCACAUUCAGCCGCGAUGAAGUCGGUGAGGCCGGAUUAGCAGCAUAUUGGGUGAACUCCUGUAGGAUUCCGGCCUCUUCCAUGAACUGGGUGUGCGGCCAUUCGCACGGUCGUACCUCCGCCAACCUCCGAGGAUGGAUAUCACUGUCAGACGACUCCCCAAUAACACCCUUGGAAUUCUUCUUAGAAGCAAACUUACUAAAGAUAUUCAUCCUUUUCCUAUGAACAAAAAUUCUGAAAUUUUUAGUCCACAAAUGUUUCUUAACAAAACUUCACAAAAUUGGUAGCAACUACUCAUAGGGAUACAUAGAGGCCAUAGCAAGCAUUCAAACUACUUAGAACUCUAAGAAUUCAACAUGCAAGCUCAUCUACAGCAGCACUAAGAGUAGCUAAUUAUUCAAAAUGAAAACCAGUAAAACAAAAGCUAAUUGGACAAACGGUGGAUUCACAUACCAAGCAACGAUCCCCCAAAACAGUUUUGGAAACGGAGGUUUGAGCAAAGAGAUCGAAAUUCGCGGGUUUGAGAGCAAGAACACGAGAGAGAGAGAGAGAGAGAGAGAGAGAGAGAGAGAGCAAUGGAGAAUUUUUUGUGGAGGUAAGUGAUGAUGUGGUGUGAAGGGAUAAGUGAGGGGACCACGUGGGGACCACAACCCACCAGGGCGCGCCUGGGGGCCCUGGCACGCCCAGGUGGGUUGUGCUCACCUAGUGCACCUCCCUCUGAUAUUAUUUGUACCAGAAGUUCUCAAAUAUUCAAAAAAAAUCGUACUAAAUUUUCAGAGCAUUCUGAGAACUUUUAUUUUUGGGCCAUUUCUUAUUGCACGGGAAAUUCAGAAAACAGACAAAACAUGGCAUUUUAUUUUAUUUAACUAACAAAACAGAAAACAAAAGGUGGGGACAGAAGGUAGUGCUUACUAAAUUCAUCAACUUCAUACCACUAAAAAUGAUCCAUUAAUAAGGUUGAUUAGGUCUUAUUAACAACCACUUUCGAUUAGCAUGAAACCGAAGAACUUUCGUAAAUCACUAAGUUACCUCAACGGGGAUGUGAAUAUCCCCAACAAUAAGCAUUUCAUAUUUUUUUAACAGUAGGUAGAGGUAGAUGAAAACUUCCAAUAGUGGUUGUCGGAGAUUUUUCAAUAACAUUAAUACCAUUCACUUGGAAUUGUUUCUUCGGAAAGUGCACCGUAUGCUCAUUGCCAUUGAUAUGAAAAGUGACCUUGCUUUUAUUGCAACCAAUAACAGCCCCUGCAGUAUUCAAGAAGGGUCUACCAAGGAUAAUCGACAUGUUGUCGUCCUCAGGCAUCUCAAGUAUAACAAAGUCAGUCCAAAUAGUAACAUUAGCACCAACAACGGGCACAUCCUCACAAAUACCAAUAGGUAUGGCAGUUGAUUGGUCAGCCAUUUGCAAAGAUAUUUCAGUAGGUGUGAGUUUAUUCAAGUCAAGUCUUUUAUAUAAAUAGAAAGGCAUAACACUAACACCAGCUACUAAAUCACAUAAAGCAAUUUUCACAUAAUUCUUUUUGAUGGAGUAAGGUAUAGUUGGUAUUCCCAGAUCUCCAAGUUUUAUAGGUACUCCAUCUUUAAAAGUAUAAUUAGCAAGCAUGGUGGAGAUUUCAGCUUCCAGUAUUUUUCUCUUAUUGGUGAUGAUGUCUUUCAUAUACUUUGCAUAAGGAGGCAUUUUCAAGAUAUCAGUCAAGCGAGUACGCAAAAAGACCGGCCUCAGCAUUUCAGCAAAGCGUUCAAAUUGUUCAUCGUCUUUCUUUUUAGUUGACUUGGGUGGAAAUGGCAUAGGUUUUUGAACCCACGGUUCUCUUUCUUUACCAUGUUUUCUAGCAAUGAAGUCUCUUUUAUCAUAUCUUUUAUUCUUAGGUUGUGGGUUAUCAAGAUCAAUAGGUGGUUCUAUCUCAACAUCAUUGUCUGGUUCUUUUUCAUUGUUUGGUUGAGCAUCUUCAUGAACAUAAGCAUUAUCUUUUUCAUUAUCACUAGGUGGAUGUUCAUUACCAGAUUGAGUUUCAGCAUCAGAAAUAGAGACAUCAUUAUCAUUAUUAGGAGGUUUUUCUACUUCGGGUUCACUAGAAGCAUGCAAAGUCCUAUCAUUUUUCUUUUUCUUUUUAGAAGGACUAGGUGAGUGGUGUUGUUCCUUUAUGAAUCUUGUUCAAUUCUUUUUGGGUGUCCCUCAGGAUAAAGUGGUUCCUGAGUCAUUUUACCUCCUCUAGUUGCAACUCUCACAGCAAAGUCAUGUAUAUUAUUAUUCUUUUCAUCAAGUAAUUCUCUUUGAGAUUUACCAACUUGUUCUAACUGGGUUUGAACCAUAGAAGCAUGUUCUGCAACACCUCUAACAUCAUUUGAAAUUCUAAAUAACAAGUCACUCAAGUGACCAAUCAUAUCAGAAUUGUAUUUCAAUUGUAUCAUAGCAUUUUCAUUGAAGUCAUCUUGUUUUCUAAUGUAGUUUUCAAACUUAUAAAGGCAUUUACUAGGAUGCAUAUUGUGAGGAUUGUCUUUAUCAUUGAAUUUCAUUAGAGAAUCUACCUCUACCACCUUAGGCAGUGGUGGUGUAUUAAGCCCAUGUAUUUCUUCAAUAGGAGGUAAAUUUUUAACAUCCUCCGCUUUAAUACCUUUUUCCUUCAUAGAUUUCUUUACCUCUUGCAUAUCUUCAGGACCGAGAUAUAAUAUACCCCUCUUCUUUGGAGUGGGUUUAGCCGGUGGUUCAGGAAGAGUCCAACCAUCAUAAUUUUUCAAUAUGUUAUUCAAUAAUUCUUCAGCUUGCCCAACAGUUCGUUCCCUGAAAACACAACCAGCACAACUAUCUAGGAAGUCCCUAGAAGCAUCGGUUAGUUCAUUAUAGAAGAUAUCAAGUAUUUCAUUUUUCUUAAGAGGAUGAUCAGGCAAAGCAUUAAGUAACUGGCAAAGCCUCCCCCAAGCUUGUGGGAGACUCUCUUCUUUAGUUUCCACAAAGUUAAAUAUCUCAUGCAAGGCAGCUUGUUUCUUAUGAGCAGGAAAAUAUUUUUCAGAGAAGCAAUAAAUCAUAUCCUGGGGACUACGCACACAACUAGGAGCAAGAGUAUUAUACCAAGCUUUAGCAUCACCCUUUAAUGAGAACGGAAAUAAUUUGAGAAUAAAGUAAUAGUGAGUCUUCUCAUCAUGAGUAAAAAGGGUGGCUAUGUCAUUCAACUUAGUAAGAUGUGCCACGACAGUUUUAGUUUCAUAACCAUGGAAACGAUCAGAUUCAACAAAAGUAAUUAACUCUGGGUCAACAGAGAAUUCAUAAUCCUUAUCAUCAAUUAAGAUAGGUGAGGUAGCAAACUUAGGAUCACAUUUCAUUCUAGCAUUCAGAUAUUUUUCUUUAUACUUGCAUAAUAAUUUCUCUAGAUCAUCUCUAUCCUUACAAGCAAGAAUAUCUCUAGUUGUCUCCUCAUUCAUAACAUAACCUUCCGGUACCUUUGGCAAUUCAUAUCUAGGAAGGCUAGUUCUAGCAGGUGUUUCAGGAGUUUCAGUUUCAAGAUCAUCAUCAGAUUCAACAACAUCAUGUUGUAUUACUCUAGCAAUUUGUUCAUCAAGAAAAUCACCAAGUGACACAUCAUCAUUAUCAAGCAAGGUACUAGCAUCAUCAUAAGCAUUAUCCAUAGCAGAAGUAGCAUCAUCAAUAACUUGUGACAUAUCAGAAUUGAUAGCAUGUGGUGGUGUUGCAAGUUUACUUAUAACAGAAGGUGAAUCUAAAGCAGAACGGCAUGGCAGUUCCUUACCUCCCCUUCUCUUAGAGGGAAAUAUCUUGGUCUUAGCAUCCUUCAGAUUCCUCAUAGUGAUAAAUUGAUAAUAAUCCCAAGUGACUCAACAAAUAUAGCUAUGCUCCCCGGCAACGGCACCAGAAAAAGGUCUUGAUAACCCCACAAGUAUAGGGGAUCGCAACAGUUUUCGAGGGUAGAGUAUUCAACCCAAAUUUAUAGAUUCGACACAAGGGGAGCCAAAGAAUAUUUGAACGUAUUAGCAGCUGAGUUGUCAAUUCAACCACGCCUGGAGAUUAAUUAUCUGUAGCAAGUAAUCAGUAGCAAAGAAGUAUGAUAGUUUUGAUAGUAGUAACAGCAGCAACGGUAACAGUAACAGUGAUAGCAGUAUUUUGUAGCAAGUGUAACAGUGAUGAUAACAGUAGUAACUUAGCAAGAACAAUAUAAGAUAAAUUCAUAGGCAUUGGAUUGGUGACUUGUUGGCUGAUAUUCAUCAUGAGACAGUUAUAACCUAGGGCGAUACGGCACUAGCUCCAGUUCGUCAAUAUAAUGUAGGCAUGUAUUCCGUAAAUAGUCAUACGUGCUUAUGGAAAGAACUUGCAUGACAUCUUUUUCCUACCCUCCUGUGGAAGCAGGGUCCAUAUUGGAAACUAAGGGAUAUUAAGGCCUCCUUUUAAUAGAGAACCGGAACAAAGCAUUAACACAUAGUGAAUACAUGAACUCCUCAAACUACGGUCAUCACCGGGAGUGGUCCCGACUAUUGUCACUCCGGGGUUGGCGGAUCAUAACACGUAGUAGGUGACUAUAACUUGCAAGAUCGGAUCUAGAACAUGGAUAAAAUUGUGAUAACAUAAACGGUUCAGAUUUGAGUUCAUGGCACCCGGGCCCAAAGUGACAAGCAUUAAGCAUAGCAAAGUCAUAGCAACAUCAAUCUAGGAACAUAAUGGAUACUAGGGAUGAAGCCCUAACAAAACUAACUCGAUUACAUGAUGAAUCUCAUCCAACUCCUCACCGACCAGCGAGCCUACGAAGGAAUUACUCACUCCCGGUGGGGAGCAUCAUGGAAUUGGCGUUGGAGAAGGGUUCGUGAUGACAAAGAACGAAGAUCCCUCUCUCCGGAGCCCCAAACGGACUCCAGAUCUGGCCUCCCGAUGAAGAACAGGAGGUGACGGCAGCUCCGUCUCGUGGAUUGCAAUAAUUCUUUCUCCCUGAUUUUUUCUCGAAAAUAGGAUUUUAUAGCGUCAGUUUCAGGGUCUGCGGUUCCACCAGGUGGGGACAACCCACCUGGGCACGCCAGGAGAGGGGGCGCGCCCUGGUGGGUUGUUCCCACCCAGGGGCCCCUCUCCGGUAGGUCUUGGCUCCAAAAUUUCUUAUUUAUUAUACAAAAAUACCUCGCAAAGUUUCGUUCCAUUCCGAGAACUUUUAUUUCUGCACAAAAACAACACCGUCAAUCCGGGGUUAGUUUCAUUCAAAUCAUCCAAAUUAGAGUUCAAAACAAGAGGAAAAGCGUUAGGAAAAGCAGAUACGUUGGAGACGUAUCAGAGGGCGCGCCCUAGGUGGGGGGAGCCCCCCUACCUUGUGGGCCCCUCGGUGACUCCCUGACCUAGAUCUUUGUAACAUCCCAAUUUUCAAUUUGGAUGUUAUACAUAGGUCAUCUUAUGCAUAUCAUAUUUUAUUUGCAUUUUGGUUGUGAUCCUAGAAAUAUUAAGCAACUCAAGGACCCAAGGAGAGAGUUGGAGAUUUCAUUCAUUUUCAUAUUUGAAUUUUUCUCAAAUUUGAAAAGAGGAUCAAUUUGAUUUUUAUAUUUUCUCUCCAAUUAAUUCCAAUAAUAAAAAUAAAUGAGAGAAGAUAAUAUGACUUCUUAAAAGGAGAGGAAAUAUUGGAGAAGAAAUUUUAAAAUCAAAUUAUUAUUUUAUUUGGAUUUUAUUUGCUAUUUUAUUUGAAUUAGAAAAGAAUAUGCAUUUUUGAAAAUCGCAUUUUAGGCCAGAAAAAUGUUCACCUUGUUCUAAAUAUUAGGUUUAGACGGUGAAAAUUGUUUCUGGUAUUUUUAGAAUUUUUUUAUAUUUUAUUAGGAUUUUUUCUUUCGGGCGAAAUUUAUUUAUUUAAAUAAAAAGUUCGCCGCCCGACUAGCCCGAAGGCCCAGCCGAGCCGGGCCGCAGCCCACGUCGCCCCGCCGCCUUCCUCCCGAGCGGGAGGAGUCCCGCCGCCGCACGGACGCCGAGGGAGUCCGGCUCGGACUCCUGUCGGGCCGCCCCCUCGCCCAAGGCACGCGCCGCCCCGCCCCCUUUAUAACACGCCCCACCCCGCCGCCUCCUUCAUCACCCCCACCCGCAGCCGCCGNNNNNNNNNNGCCGCUGCUGCGAGCUGCCGCUGCCACCGCCGCUUGCGCGCCGCCGUUCGUCGUCGCCAUUCCGCGCCGCGCCGCCGCUUUGCCUCGCCUGAUUUCGCCGCCGCCGACUGGUAUAAAACCGUCCCGGUUCGCCGUUUUUUUGUUCUUCGGUUUAGAUCGGUUUAUUUUUAGGGUUAGGGUUUUUCUCGAUUUUUCUGUUCGGAUCUAAUUAGCGGACGUUCGUCUGUUAAUUCGCAGUAGCGAACAACGUUCGUUCGUUUGGUUCUGUUAGCGAACGUUCGUUCGAUAGGUUCUUCUUUUUAUUUUAUUUUCGGCAACGGACCUAUUCAUGAUUACUUUUAUCACAGAUUUGUCCCUGAUCUUCAAACCCUAGCAACUUUUUGCUCGUUCGUCCAAAUCCAGUGAAACCAAUGCUAGAAUCGUCGUCUUGUUCCCCUCUUUCCAGUUAACCAACUUGAACAUGAUUUUGACAAUUUAAAAUUUGGUUUCAAGCAUAUUUGAAUUCGAACUUCGUUUGAUCGUAGUUUGUGUUUCGUAGCUCCGAUUCGAUUGAUCCUUUUUGCAAAUCAAAGCUCUUCAGUUGAACUUUCAGUUUGCAUCCUUUCUCUUGAGUUUUACCCUUGCAUCUAUUGCUUGAGUGCUUAUGUAUGCUAUUUUUUGUUUAUGAUAGAGUUUCCGGAGUGCGAAGCGUGCUACUACGAGUCACUAGGGUUUUCAGAUCGUCAGCAAGGCAAGUAACACUUUGAUCAUAUCCCUUAUUACCCAGUUUUUAUGCAUUAGUUUCAUUCCUCAAACAUUGCAUGAGUAGGGUCUGAUUAGCAUGUGGGUUUUUGGGAAGUAGUUGUUGAGGUAGUACCUAUUGCCCUUUCAUUCAAACCUUGGGAGUUACUACGUUACGCUUAUUACACUUUGCUAUGCUAUGCUCGUAGACGUGGUUUGGUUUGAGUGAUUCAUGACAGUUGUGAGUAUUAUUGUGAGCUAAGGGUUUACUUAAGGUAGCUACUUUAACACACAUCUGGGUGGAUUGGUUGUGGGCACCUGGGGUAAUCCAGUGCUGUCCAAAGGAGAAUCCCGGGGUAUCCGUGUGAUUUUUCCAAUGGUUCGCCUCUCAGGCUCAAAGGGAUCAUUAUGUUAUUCAUGCUGGAAACUUCCGUGUGCAGCCACAAGCCAUUAUGGGCUCUGGCAUAGUUGAGUAAGUUGUGGGAAUCCUUUCCAUGAUGGGCUAGCAGAUGUAGGGGAUUGUAGGUGUACCGGCCUAUCUAUCGGUUAAGGGGACCUCUUUGGAAAGACUGUGUCUCGGUCAUCCGUUUCUCAAACAUCAUGUAGUGCGAGAAAUCCAACGGAGGAGAUCGAGACUUGUGGGGAAAAGUGCGCAAGCCUCCGCAGAGUGUAUAAACUAAUCAUGGUUAGCCGUGUCCCCAGUUAUGGACAUCUUGAGUAUCUGGUGCUUGAAUUACUAUGUUGAUCUCAACACUUUACUUAAUAAAUUGUGGGAUUAUUGUUAACUUUUAAUUGGGAUUGAGAUGGGGUUACCAUUCUCAAUGUUUUCAACCAACUUUGUAGUUAAAUAAAAUAUAUUCUUUUGUUGUAGGGAAAAACUAGCUUUAAGGAAAUGAUAACCAUAGAGCCUCCACCAGCCAAAUAUGCAUAUAGUUAUAGCUGCUACUUGUUCAUUGCUCUAUAGUGUUAUCUUGCCAGCAUAUUCCAUGUGCUGACCUACACAGGCUGCAACGUAUUAUGUUGCAGAGUUUUUAGACGAAGAGUAAGGUGCGCUAGGUCAUUGUCGUGCACUCAGCUAUGCCGUUGGAGUUGAUGGACUCAUUUACCUUCGAAGCUUCCGCUGUUAUCUUAUUUAGAUGGCCUUCAGCCAUAUUAUUGUAAUAAGUUCUCUUUUGAGACAUUCGAUUUAAUAAGUGUGUGAUUGCACUCUGUUAUAAAUCCUCGAGUAUUGUGUGUGUCAGCAUUACUGAUCCAGGGAUGACACUUACACACAGAGAUUUGACAGUCUGAGGUCGGAUCGCUACAAUCUUGCUCCUAUAUAUUCACAUAUAUUCCAAAACCACUAGAAGCAUCCACGAAAACACUUUUCCACCGCCGCAACCUUCUGAUCCCGUGAGAUCCCAUCUGGCGGCCUUUUCCGGCAUCCUGCCGGAGGAGGAUUCAAUCACGGAGGGCAUCUACAUCAAAUCUUUUGCCCUUCCGAUGAAGCGUGAGUAGUUUACCUCAGACCUACGGGUCCAUAGCUAGUAGCUAGAUUUCUUCUUCUCUCUCUUUGAUUCUCGAUACCAUGUUCUCCUCGAUGUUCUUGGAGAUCUGUCUGAGAUCUUCUUUUGCUCUGUGUUUGUCGAGAUCCGAUGAAUUGUGGAUUUAUGAUCAGCUUAUCUAUGAAUAUUAUUUGAAUCUUCUCUGAAUUCUUAUAUGCAUGAUUUGGUAUCUUUGUAUUUCCCUUCGAAUUAUCGGUUUGGUUUGGCCAACUAGAUUGGUGUUUCUUGCAAUGGGAGAGGUGCUUAGUGAUGUAGGCUAGGACUACGUCGAUAUUUCCCCAAAGAGGAAGGGAUGAUGCAGCACACCGAUGGUAGGUAUUUCCCUCAGUGAAGAAACCAAGGUUAUCAAACCAGUAGGAAAACCAAGCAACACAACGUAAACUGCCCCUGCACACAGAUAACAAAUCCUCGCAACCCAACGUGUAAAAGGGUUUGUCAAUCCCUGUCGGGUAGCGGCGCCCCAAGAUGGGCAAACAGACGUGAGGAAAUUGUAGUAGAUUGAUAGAUCGAACGCCAAACAAAAUAAAUAAGAAUAAAUUGCAGCAAGGUAUUUUUGUAUUUUUAGUUUAAUAGAUCUGAAAAUAAAUGCAAAGGAAAAGUAGAUCGCAAAGGCAAAUAUAUGAGAAAUAGAACCGGGGGGCAUAGGUUUUGUUGGGGAACGUAGUAAUUUAAAAAAAAAAUACUACGCACACGCAAGAUCAUGGUGAUGCAUAGCAACGAGAGGGGAGAUUGUUGUCUACGUACCCUCGUAGACCGAAAGCGGAAGCGUUAGCACAACGCGGUUGAUGUAGUCGUACGUCUUCACGAUCCGACCAAUCAAGUACCGAACACACGGCACCUCCGAGUUCAGCACACAUUCAGCCCGAUGACGUAUCUGGUUGACCUAUGAGGUUCGGUUGUAACUUGAUCCGAAGCUUCAUGAUCAUCAUCAUUAACUUCCUCACUAAUUGGUGUAAGCAUCACUGGAACUGAUUUGUGUGAUGAACUACUUUCCAAUUCGGGAGAAGGUACAAUUACCUUAUCAAGUUUUACUUUCCUCCCACUCACUUCUUUCGAGAGAAACUCCUUCCCUAGAAAGGACCCAUUCUUAGCAACAAAGAUCUUGCCUUCGGAUCUGUGAUAGAAGGUGUACCCAACAUUUUGGGUAUCCUAUGAAGACGCACUUCUUCGAUUUGGGUUUGAGCUUAUCAGGUUGAAAUUUUUCACAUAAGCAUCGCAGCCCCAAACUUUAAGAAACGACAACUUUGGUUUCUUGCCAAACCACAAUUCAUAAGGCGUCGUCUCAACGGAUUUUGAUGGUGCCCUAUUUAAAGUGAAUGCAGUUGUCUCUAAUGUAUAACCCCAAAACGAUAGUGAUAAAUCGCUAAGAUAAUUCAUAGAUCGCACCAUAUCCAAUAAAGUGCGGUUACGACAUUUCGGACACACCACUACGCUGUGGUGUUCCAUGUGGCGUGAGCUGUGAAACUAUUCCUACGCACACGCAAGAUCAUGGUGAUGCAUAGCAACGAGAGGGGAGAGUGUUGUCUACGUACCCUCGUAGACCGAAAGCGGAAGCGUUAGCACAACACGGUUGAUGUAGUCAUACGUCUUCACGAUCCGACCGAUCAAGUACCGAAUGCACGGCACCUCCGAGUUCAGCACACGUUCAGCCCGAUGGCGUCCCUCGAACUCCGAUCCAGCCGAGUGUUGAGGGAGAGUUUCGUCAGCACGACGGCGUGGUGACGAUGAUGAUGUUCUACCGACGCAGGGCUUCGCCUAAGCACCGCUACAGUAUUAUCGAGGUGGACUAUGGUGGAGUGGGCCACCGCACACGGCUAAAAGAUCAAACGAUCAAUUGUUGUGUCUCUAGGGUGCCCCCUGCCCCCGUAUAUAAAGGAGCAAGGGGGAGGUGCGGCCGGCCAGGAGGGGGCGCGCCAGGAGGAGUCCUACUCCCACCGGGAGUAGGACUCCCUCCCUUUUCCUUGUUGGAUUAGGAGAAGAGGGGGAAAGAGGUGGAGGAGAAGAAGGAAAGGGGGGUGCCGCCCCCCUCUCCUUGUCCUAUUCGGACUAGGGGGGAGGGGUGCGCGGCCCUUGCCCUGUCCGCCUCUCCUCUUCUCCACCAAGGCCCACUAUGGCCCAUUAACCCCCGGGGGGUUCCGGUAACCCCUCCGGUACUCCAGUAAAAUCCUGAUUUCACCCGGAACACUUCCGAUAUCCAAACAUAGGCUUCCAAUAUAUCAAUCUUCAUGUCUCGACCAUUUUCGAGACUCCUCGUCAUGUCCGUGAUCACAUCCGGGACUCCGAACAACCUUCGGUACAUCAAAACAUAUAAACUCAUAAUAUAACUGUCAUCGUAACUUUAAGCGUGCGGACCCUAUGGGUUCGAGAACUAUGUAGACAUGACCGAGACAUGUCUCCGGUCAAUAACCAAUAGCGGAACCUGGAUGCUCAUAUUGGCUCCCACAUAUUCUACGAAGAUCUUUAUCUGUCAGACCGCAUAACAACAUACGUUGUUCCCUUUGUCAUCGGUAUGUUACUUGCCCGAGAUUCGAUCGUCGGUAUCUCAAUACCUAGUUCAAUCUCGUUACCGGCAAGUCUCUUUACUCGUUCCGUAAUACAUCAUCGCAACUAACUCAUUAGUUUCUAUGCUUGCAAGUCUUCUAGUGAUGUGCAUUACCGAGUGGGCCCAGAGAUACCUCUCCGACAAUCGGAGUGACAAAUCCUAAUCUCGAAAUACGCCAACCCAACAAGUACCUUCGGAGACACCUGUAGAGCACCUUUAUAAUCACCCAUUUACGUUGUGAUGUUUGAUAGCACACAAAGUGUUCCUCCGGUAAACGGGAGUUGCAUAAUCUCAUAGUCAUAGGAACAUGUAUAAGUCAUGAAGAAAGCAAUAACAACAUACUAAACAAUCAAGUGCUAAGCUAACGGAAUGGGUCAAGUCAAUCACAUCAUUCUCCUAUUGAUGUGAUCCCGUUAAUCAAAUGACAACUCAUGUCCAUGGCUAGGAAACUCAACCAUCUUCGAUUAACGAGCUAGUCAAGUAGAGGCAUACUAGUGACACUAUGUUUGUCUAUGUAUUCACACAUGUAUUAUGUUUCCGGUUAAUACAAUUCUAGCAUGAAUAAUAAACAUUUAUCAUGAAAUAAGUAAAUAAAUAAUAACUUUAUUAUUGCCUCUAGGGCAUAUUUCCUUCAGUCUCCCACUUGCACUAGAGUCAAUAAUCUAGUUCACAUCACCAUGUGAUUUAAUACUAAUAUUCACAUCUGCAUGUGAUUAACACCCAUAGUUCACAUCGUCAUGUGACCAAUACCCAAAGGGUUUACUAGAGUCAAUAAUCUAGUUCACAUCGCUAUGUGAUUAACACCCAAAGAGUACUAAGGUGUGAUCAUGUUUUGCUCGUGAGAGAAAUUUAGUCAACGGGUCUGCCACAUUCAGAUCCGUAUGUAUUUUGCAAAUUUCUAUGUCAACAAUGCUCUGCACGGAGCUACUCUAGCUAAUUGCUCCCACUUUCAAUAUGUAUACAGAUCGAGACUUAGAGUCAUCUGGAUCAGUGUCAAAGCUUGUAUCGACGUAAUUCUUUACGACGAACCUUUUGUCACCUCCAUAAUCGAGAAACAUAUCCUUAUUCCACUAAGGAUAAUUUUGACUGUUGUCCAGUGAUCUACUCCUAGAUCACUAUUGUACUCCCUUGCUAAACCCAGUGUAGGGUAUACAAUAGAUCUGGUACACAGCAUGGCAUACUUUAUAGAACCUAUGGCUGAGGCAUAGGGAAUGACUUUCAUUCUCUUUCUAUCUUCUGCUGUGGUCGGGCUUUGAGUCUUACUCAAUUUCACACCUUGUAACACAGGCAAGAACUCUUUCUUUGAUUGUUCCAUUUUAAACUACUUCAAAAUUUUGUCAAGGUAUGUACUCAUUGAAAAAACUUAUCAAGCGUCUUGAUCUAUCUCUAUAGAUCUUGAUGCUCAAUAUGUAAGCAGCUUCACCGAGGUCUUUCUUUGAAAAACUCCUUUCAAACACUCCUUUAUGCUUUGCAGAAUAAUUCUACAUUAUUUCCGAUCAACAAUAUGUCAUUCACAUAUACUUAUCAGAAAUGCUAUAGUGCUCCCACUCACUUUCUUGUAAAUACAGGCUUCACCGCAAGUCUGUAUAAAACUAUAUGCUUUGAUCAACUUAUCAAAGCGUAUAUUCCAACUCCGAGAUGCUUGCACCAGUCCAUAGAUGGAUCGCUGCAGCUUGCAUAUUUUGUUAGCACCUUUAGGAUUGACAAAACCUUCUGGUUGCAUCAUAUACAACUCUUCUUUAAUAAAUCCAUUAAGGAAUACAGUUUUGUUUAUCCAUUUGCCAGAUUUCAUAAAAUGCGGCAAUUGCUAACAUGAUUCGGACAGACUUAAGCAUAGAUACGAGUGAGAAACUCUCAUCGUAGUCAACACCUUGAACUUGUCGAAAACCUUUUGCGACAAUUCUAGAUUUGUAGAUAGUAACACUACUAUCAGCGUCCGUCUUCCUCUUGAAGAUCCAUUUAAUUUCAAUGGCUCGCCGAUCAUCGAGCAAGUCAAUCAAAGUCCAUACUUUGUUCUCAUACAUGGAUCCCAUCUCAGAUUUCAUGGCCUCAAGCCAUUUUGCGGAAUCUGGGCUCAUCAUCGCUUCCUCAUAGUUCGUAGGUUCGUCAUGGUCAAGUAACAUGAAUUCCAGAAUAGGAUUACCGUACCACUCUGGUGCGGAACGUAUCUGGUUGACCUACGAGGUUCGGUUGUAACUUGAUUCGAAGCUUAAUGAUCUUCAUCAUUAACUUCCUAACUAAUUGGUGUAAGCAUCACUGGAACUGAUUUGUGUGAUGAACUACUUUCCAAUUCGGGAGAAGGUACAAUUACCUUAUCAAGUUUUACUUUCCUCCCACUCACUUCUUUCGAGAGAAACUCCUUCUCUAGAAAUGAUCCAUUCUUAGCAACAAAGAUCUUGCCUUCGGAUUUGUGAUAGAAGGUGUACCCAACAUCUUGGGUACCCUAUGAAGACGCACUUCUCAGAUUUGGGUUUGAGCUUAUCAGGUUGAAACUUUUUCACAUAAGCAUUGCAGCCCCAAACUUUAAGAAACGACAACUUUGGUUUCUUGCCAAACCACAGUUCAUAAGGCGUCGUCUCAACGGAUUUUGAUGGUGCCCUAUUUAAAGUGAAUGCAGCUGUCUCUAAUGUAUAACCCCAAAACGAUAGUGAUAAAUCGGUAAGAUACAUCAUAGAUCGCACCAUAUCCAAUAAAGUGCGGUUACGACAUUUCGGACACACCACUACGCUGUGGUGUUCCAUGUGGCGUGAGCUGUGAAACUAUUACACAUUGUUUUUAAAUGAAGGCCAAAACUCGUAACUCAAAUAUUCUCCUCUACGAUCAGAUUGUAGAAACUUUAUUUUCUUGUUACGAUGAUUCUCCACUUCACUCUAAAAUUCUUUGAACUUUUCAAAUGUUUCAGACUUGUGCUUCAUUAAGUAGAUAUACUCAUAUCUGCUCAAAUCAUCUGUGAAGGUCAGAAAAUAACGAUACCCGCCACGAGCAUCAACACUCAUUGGACCGCAUACAUCGGUAUGUAUUAUUUCCAACAAGUCAGUAGCUCGUUCCAUUAUUCGGAGAAUUGAGUUUUAGUCAUCUUGCCCAAAAGGCACGGUUCGCAAGCAUCAAAUGAUUCAUAACCAAGUGAUUCCAAAAGUCCAUCUUAAUGGAGUUUCUUCAUGCGCUUUACACCGAUAUGACCCAAACGGCAGUGCCACAAAUAAGUUGCACUAUCAUUAUCAACUUUGCAUCUUUUGGCAUCAAUAUUAUGAAUAUGUGUAUCACUACGAUCGAGAUCCAACAAACUAUUUUCAUUGGGUGUAUGACCAUCGAAGGUUUUAUUCAUGUAAACAGAACAACAAUUAUUCUCUGACUUUAAAUGAAUAACUGUAUUGCAAUAAACAUGAUCAAAUCAUAUUUAUGCUCAACGCAAACGCGAAAUAACAUUUAUUUACGUUUAACACUAAUACCGAAAGUAUAGGGAGUGUGUGAUGAUGAUCAUAUCAAUCUUGGAACCACUUUCAACACACAUCGUCACUUCACCCUCAACUAGUCUCUGUUUAUUCUGUAACUCAUGUUUUGAGUUACUAAAUUUUUAGCAACCGAACAAGUAUCAAAUACCCAGGGGCUACUAUAAACACUGGUAAGGUACACAUCAAUAACCUGUAUAUCAAAUAUACCCUUGUUCACUUUGCCAUCCUACUUAUCCACCAAAUAUUCAGGGUAUUUCCGCUUCCAGUGACCAUUUCCUUUGCAGUAGAAGCACUCAGUUUCAGGCUUUGGUCCAGCUUUGGGCCUCUUCACGGGAGUGACAACUUGCUUGCCAUUCUACUUGAAGUUUCCCUUUCUUUCCCUUUGCCCUUUUCUUGAAACUAGUGGUCUUGUCAAUCAUCAACACUUGAUGCUCUUUCUUGAUUUCUACCUUCAUUGAUUUCAACAUCACGAAGAGCUCGGGAAUCGUUUUCGUCAUCCCUUGCAUACUAUAGUUCAUCAUGAAGUUCUGGUAACUUGGUGAUGGUGACUAGAGAACUCUGUCAAUCACUAUCUUAUCUGGAAUAUUAACUCCCACUUGAUUCAAGCGAUUGUAGUACCCAGACAAUCUGAGCACAUGCUCACUGCUUGAGCUAUUCUCCUCCAUCUUUUAGCUAUAGAACUUGUUGGAGACUUCAUAUCUCUCAACUCGGGUAUUUGCUUGAAAUAUUAACUUCAACUCCUGGAACAUCUCAUAUGGUCCAUGACGUUCAAAACGUCUUUGAAGUCCCGAUUCUAAGCCGUUAAGCAUGGUGCACUAAACUAUCAAGUAGUCAUCAUACCGAGCUUUUGUCAAACGUUCAUAACGUCUGCAUCUGCUCCUGCAAUAGGUCUGUCACCUAGCGGUGCAUCAAGGACAUAAUUCUUCUGUGCAGCAAUGAGGAUAGACCUCAGAUCACGGACCAAGUCCGCAUCAUUGCUACUAUCAUCUUUCAACAUAUUUUUCUCUAGGAACAUAUCAAAAUAAAACAGGGGAGCUAAAUGCGAGCUAUUGAUCUACAACAUAGAUAUGCUAAUACUACCAGGACUAAGUCAUGAUAAAUUAAAGUUCAAUUAAUCAUAUUACUUAAGAACUCCCACUUAGAUAGACAUCCCUCUAAUCAUCUAAGUGAUCACGCGAUCCAAAUCAACUAAACCAUAACCGAUCAUCACGUGAAAUGGAGUAGUUUUCAAUGGUGAACAUCACUAUGUUGAUCAUAUCUACUAUAUGAUUCACGCUCGACCUUUCGGUCUCAGUGUUCCGAGGCCAUAUCUGCAUAUGCUAGGCUCGUCAAGUUUAACCUGAGUAUUCAGCGUGUGCAAAACUGGCUUGCACCCGUUGUAGAUGGACGUAGAGCUUAUCACACCCGAUCAUCACGUGGUGUCUGGGCACGACGAACUUUGGCAAAGGUGCAUACUCAGGGAGAACACUUUUAUCUUGAAAUUUAGCGAGAGAUCAUCGUAUAAUGCUACCGUCAAUCAAAGCAAGAUAAGAUGCAUAAAAGAUAAACAUCAUAUGCAAUCAAUAUAAGUGAUAUGAUAUGGCCAUCAUCAUCUUGUGCUUGUGAUCUCCAUCUCCGAAGCACCGUCAUGAUCACCAUCGUCACCGGCGCGACACCUUGAUCUCCAUCAUAGCAUCGUUGUCGUCUCGCCAACUUAUGCUUCUACGACUAUCGCUACCGCUUAGUGAUAAAGUAAAGCAUUACAGGGCGAUUGCAUUGCAUACAAUAAAGCGACAACCAUAUGGCUCCUGCCAGCUGCCGAUAACUCGGUUACAAAACAUGAUCAUCUCAUGCAAUAAAAUUUAGCAUCAUGUCUUGACCAUAUCACAUCACAACAUGCCCUGCAAAAACAAGUUAGACGUCCUCUACUUUGUUGUUGCAAGUUUUACGUGGCUGCUACUGGGCUUAGCAAGAACCGUUCUUACCUACGCAUCAAAACCACAACGAUAGUUUGUCAAGUUGGUGCUGUUUUAACCUUCGCAAGGACCGGGCGUAGCCACACUCGGUUCAACCAAAGUUGGAGAAAUUGACACCCGCCAGCCACCUGUGUGCAAAGCACGUCGGUAGAACCAGUCUCGCGUAAGCGUACGCGUAAUGUCGGUCCGGGCCGCUUCAUCCAACAAUACCGCCGAACCAAAGUAUGACAUGCUGGUAAGCAGUAUGACUUAUAUCGCCCACAACUCACUUGUGUUCUACUCGUGCAUAUGACAUCUACGCAUAAAACCAGGCUCGGAUGCCACUGUUGGGGAACGUAGUAAUUUCAAAAAAAAUUCCUACGCACACGCAAGAUCAUGGUGAUGCAUAGCAACGAGAGGGGAGAGUGUUGUCUACGUACCGAAAGCGGAAGCAUUAGCACAACGCGGUUGAUGUAGUCGUACGUCUUCACGAUCCGACCGAUCAAGUACCGAACGCACGGCACCUCCGAGUUCAGCACACGUUCAGCCCGAUGACGUCCCUCGAACUCCGAUCCAGCCGAGUAUUGAGGGAGAGUUUCGUCAGCACGACGGUGUGGUGACGAUGAUGAUGUUCUACCGAUGCAGGGCUUCGCCUAAGCACCACUACAGUAUUAUCGAGGUGGACUAUGGUGGAGGGGGGCACCGCACACGGCUAAAAGAUCAAACGAUCAAUUGUUGUGUCUCUAGGGUGCCCCCCUGCCCCCGUAUAUAAAGGAGCAAGGGGGGAGGUGCGGCCGGCCAGGAGCGGCCGCCCCCCUCUCCUUGUCCUAUUCGGACUAGGGGGAGGGGUGUGCGGCCCUUGCCCUGGCCGCCUCUCCUCUUCUCCACCAAGGCCCACUAUGGCCCAUUAACACCCGGGGGGUUCCGGUAACCCCUCCGGUACUCCGGUAAAAUCCCGAUUUCACCCGGAACACUUCCGAUAUCCAAACAUAGGCUUCCAAUACAUCAAUCUUCAUGUCUCGACCAUUUCGAGACUCCUCGUCAUGUCCGUGAUCACAUCCGGGACUCCGAACAACCUUCGGUACAUCAAAACAUAUAAACUCAUAAUAUAACUGUCAUCGUAACUUUAAGCGUGCGGACCCUACGGGUUCAAGAACUAUGUAGACAUGACCGAGACAUGUCUCCGGUCAAUAACCAAUAGCGGAACCUGGAUGCUCAUAUUGGCUCCCACAUAUUCUACGAAGAUCUUUAUCGGUCAGACCGCAUAACAACAUACGUUGUUCCCUUUGUCAUCGAUAUGUUACUUGCCCGAGAUUCGAUCAUCGGUAUCUCAAUACCUAGUUCAAUCUCGUUACCGGCAAGUCUCUUUACUCAUUCCGUAAUACAUCAUCCUGCAACUAACUCAUUAGUUUCUAUGCUUGCAAGGCUUAUAGUGAUGUGCAUUACCGAGUGGGCCCAGAGAUACCUCUCCGACAAUCGGAGUGACAAAUCCUAAUCUCGAAAUACGCCAACCCAACAAGUACCUUCGGAGACACCUGUAGAGCACCUUUAUAAUCACCCAUUUACGUUGUGGCGUUUGGUAGCACACAAAGUGUUCCUCCGGUAAACGGGAGUUGCAUAAUCUCAUAGUCAUAGGAACAUGUAUAAGUCAUGAAGAAAGCAAUAGCAACAUACUAAACGAUCAAGUGCUAAGAUAACGGAAUAGGUCAAGUCAAUCACAUCAUUCUCCUAAUGAUGUGAUCCCAUUAAUCAAAUGACAACUCAUGUCCAUGGCUAGGAAACUCAAGCAUCUUCGAUUAACAAGCUAGUCAAGUAGAGGCGUACUAGUGACACUAUGCUUGUCUAUGUAUUCACACAUGUAUUAUGUUUCCGGUUAAUAUAAUUCUAGCAUGAAUAAUAAAUAUUUAUCAUGAAAUAAGGAAAUAAAUAAUAACUUUAUUAUUGCCUCUAGGGCAUAUUUCCUUCAGGUUUCACUUGUGGCUUCUCUCGAGAAAUAUAGCAAAUGGUGGGUAAAAAAAAUACUGUUGGGCAAUUGAUAGAACUUCAAAUAAUCAUGACGAUAUCUAGGCAAUGAACAUUAUAUAGGCAUCACAUCCAAGAUUAGUAGACCGACUCCUACCUGCAUCUACUACUAUUACUCCACACAUCGACCGCUAUCCAGCAUGCAUCUAGUGUAUUAAGUUCAUGGAAAAACGGAGUAAUGCAAUAAGAACGAUGACAUGAUGUAGACACGAUCUAUCUAUGUAGAGAUAGACCCCAUCAUUUUAUCCUUAGUAGAAACGAUACAUACGUGUCGGUUCCCCUUCUGUCACUGGGAUCAAGCACCAUAAGAUCGAACCCACUACAAAGCACCUCUUCCCAUUGCAAGAUAAAUAGAUCAAGUUGGCCAAACAAAACCCAAAUAUCGGAGAAGACAUACGAGGCUAUAAGAAAUCAUGCAUAAAAGAGAUCAAAGAAACUUAAAUACUUUCAUGGAUAUAAAAAGAUAUAACAGAUCAUAAACUCAAAGUUCAUCAAAUCCCAACAAACACACCGCAAAAGAGUUACAUCAUAUGGAUCUCCAAGAGACCAUUGUAUUGAGAAUUCAGCGAGAGAGAGGAAGCCAUCUAACUACUAACUACGGACCCGAAGGUCUACAAAGAACUAAUCACGCAUCAUCGGAGUGGCACCAAUGGAGGUGGUGAACCCCAUCCGAGAUGGUGUCUAUAUUGGAUCUGGUGGUUUUGGACUCUGCGGCGGCUAGAUCAAUAUUUUGUCGACUCCCCUAGGGUUUUUGGAAUAUUGGGGUAUUUAUAUAGCAAAGAGGCGGUCCAGGGGCACCCGAGGUGGGCACAACCCACCAGGGCGCGCCUAGGCCUCCUGGCGUGCCCUGGUGGGUUUUUCUCUCCUCGAAGCAUCCCCCAGGCGCAGCCAUGGCCCAUUACGUGUCUUCUGGUCCAUAAAAAAUCUCCGUAAAGUUUCGUUGCAUUUGGACUCCGUCUGAUAUUCAUUUCCUGCGAUGUCAAAAACAUGUAGAAAACAACAACUGGCACUUGGCACUAUGUCAAUAGGUUAGUACCAAAAAUGAUUAUAAAACAUCCAAGAUUGAUAAUAUAAUAGCAUGGAACAAUAAAAAAUUAUAGAUACGUUGGAGAUGUAUCAGCAUCCCCAAGCUUAACUCCUACUCGUCCUCGAGUAGGUAAGUGAGAAAAACAGAAUUUUUGAUGUGGAAUUCGGCCUAACAUGUCAUAACAUAUUCUUUUCUUUAUAGCAUGGACAUUUGGACUUUUAUGUGAUUCAAAGCAAUAGUCUAGUUUUGACAUGAUAAUUUAAAUACUCAAGCAUAUCAACAAGCAACCAUGUCUUUCAAAAUAUCAACGCUAAAAUAAGUUAUCCUUAGCCCAUCAUGCUCAACCAUUGAUCCAUUCAUGAAACACACUCGCAUAUUAGCUACACCCAAUACUUAAGGACAAUCAUAUUGCCUCCUAGUUGGUGCUUUUAUAAGAGAAGAUGGUGACUCAAAUUCAAAAUAAAAAUUGCGUAAAGUAAAAGAAUGGCCCUUCGCAGAGGGAAGUAGGGAUUUGUAGAGGUGCCAGAGCUCAAAGCGAAAAACUUAGAGAUAAAAACAUUUUGGGAGGUGUAUCCAUCCCACCAACGAAAACGACUUAGAGUUCCCAACACUUUCCAUGUUAGAUAUAUCAUAGGCGGUUCCCAAACAGAAAAUAAAGUUUAUUCCCUUUUCCACCAUACUUCCACUUUCCAUGGCUAGCCGUAUCCACGGUUGCCCUCCAUACCAACACUUUCCAAGGAAUUUAUUAUUUGACAACAUAAAGUAAAAUUUUUUUUUCAUUUCGGGACUAGGCAUCCCUAAAACCUUUGCCUUACCCUCAUGCAAUGACAAGUUAAUAAACACUCAUCGUGAGAAUAACACAUCCAGCAUGGAAAAUAUUAGCCACCCCUCACCGCUCCGUGAGCGAAACGAACACAAAGCAGAUAUAGUGGACUCAUGUGGCAAAACUGGUUUAAAGGAUUUUGGAUGCACAAGUAGAGAUCAUACUUAGUGCAAAAUGAAGGCUGGCAAAAGAUUGAGAAGCGACCAACCAAGAAACGAAUAAUCUCAUAACCAAGCAUUAAGCAUAAUUAACACCAAAUAAUGCACCACAAGUAGGAUAUAAUUUCAUUGCAUGACUAUUGACUUUCGUGCUUGCAUAGGGAAUCACAAACCUUAACACCAAUAUUCUUACUAAAGCAUAAUUACUCAUCAACAUAACUCACAUAUCACAUAAUCAUAUCUCAAAACUAUUACUAAGAGUCAAGUUUAUUUUGUCCAAUGAUCUUCAUGAAAGUUUUUAUUAUAUCCUUCUUGGUUAUCUAUCACUUUGGGACUAAUUUUCAUGUGUUGCUUUCCAUAAGCUCAAACAAAUAUAAGUGAAGAUCAUGAGCGUAAUUGUUUUUCUUUCUCUCAAAAUAAUUUAAGUGAAGCAAGAGAGGGCUUCUUGAAAAUUUUACUAACUCUCAAAUAAAUCUAAGUGAAGCAAGGGAGUAUUUCUUCAAAAAUACUAAAGCACACCGUGCUCAAAAAGAUAUAAGUGAAGCACUAGAGCAAGUCCCUAGCUCAUAAAAAUUUAAGUGAAGCAUAGAGAGCAAUUCUAACAAGUCAUGACAUAAUUUUGGCUCUCUCAAAUAGGUGUGUCCAACAAGGGAUCAAGACUUAAAACACAAAAUAAAACAAGAAAAGACUCAUAUCAUACAAGACGCUCCAAGCAAAACACAUAUUAUGUGACGAAUAAAAAUAUAGCUUCGAGUAAAAAUACCGAUGGUCGUUAGAAGAAAGGGGGGAUGCCACUUGGGGCAUCCCCAAACUUAGGCUCUUCUAUCCUUCCUUCAUCUAUCGUAAGAUAACCCAAAACUUGAAAACUUCAAUCACACAAAACUCAACAAAACCUUCGUGAGAUCCGUUAGUAUAAGAAAGCAAACCACUACUAUAAGUAUUGUAUCAAACCAAUUCGUAUUUUGUUUUGCAUUAUAUCUACUGUAUUCCAACUUUCCUAUGGCAAAAACUCAUCAAAGAAAACCAUAGAACCAUCAAAACAAGCACACGACGCAAAGAAAACAAAAUCUGAGAAAACAGAACAGUUUGUAGCAAUCUGACUAUUUUGAAUACUUCUGUAACUCUAAAAAUUCUGAAAAUUUAGGACGACCAGGGUAAUUUGUAUAUCAAUCUUCUGCAGAAAGAAUCAGGGCAAAAUCACUUUUCUAUGAUUUAUGAAAAUUAUUUUCAUGAGUGCAUAAGUUUCUGUUUUUCAGCAAGAUCAAACAACUAUCACCUGAGAAGAUCCUCAAGGCUUUACUUGCCACAAACACUGACUAAAACACAAAAAACACAAUCAUAACAGUAGAAUAAUUGUGCAAACACUCAAGAACAGAAAGCAAAAAGCAAAAAUAAAUUUUAUUCAUUGGGUUGCCUCCCAACAAGCGCUAUAGUUUUACGCCCUUAGCUAGGCAUAAAGAAAGGAUCUAAGUUUUGUCAUCUUUGGUUCGAGAUCCAUAAGAUGCCCUCAUGAUUGAUUCAUAUGGUGGCUUAAUUCUUGUUCUAGGGAAGUGUUCCAUACCUUUUAUCAAAGAAAAUUGGAACUUAAUAUUGCCUUCUUUCAUAUCAAUCACGGCACCGAUAGUGCGUAAAAAUGGUCUACCAAGAAUAAUAGGACAAGACGGAUUGCAAUCAAUAUCAAGAACAAUAAAAUCUAUGGGCACAUAAUUCCUAUUUGCAAGAAUAAGAACAUCAUUAAUUCUUUCCAUGGGCUUUUUAAUAGUGGAAUCCUCUAAGUGUAAAUUCAAAGAACACGAUUCAAUAUCGGUAAGACCAAGCACAUCACAUAAAGAUUUCAGAAUUGUAGAAACACUAGCACCCAAGUCACACAAAGCAAAACACUCAUAAUUUUUAAUCUUGACUUUGAUAGUAGGUUCCCAUUCAUCAUGCAAUUUUCUAGGAAUUGAAACUUCUAACUCCAAUUAUUCUUCAAAAGCUUUCAUCAUAGCAUCAACAAUAUGUUUAGUAAAAGCUUUAUUUUGUUCAUAGGAAUGAGGUGAAUUUAACAUGGAUUGCAACAAAGAAAUACAAUCAAUCAAAGAGCAACUAUCAUAAUUAAAGUAUUUCUAAUCCAAAAGAGUGGGCACAUCACUAGUUAAAGUUUUGACCUCUCCAAACCCACUUUUAUCAAUUUUCUCAACAAGAUUUUCACCCUACGAAUCAUCGGGACGCCUUCUAAAUAAAGUUGACUCUUCUCCAGUCCCUUUUUCAUAAAUCUUAACUUUACUAAACAAGGAAUCUAUAGAAGAAACACCAAUCAUUUUAAGAUCUUCAUCACUUUUGCGAAAGUAGUCACUAGAAAACGCUUUUUCUAAAAAUUCUCUUUUAGCUCUAAGCAUAGCUGUUCUUUUCUUACUUUCAUCCAUAGAAACAUAAAGAGCUUUAAUUGAUUCAUAAACCUUAGCACAAAAAAUUUCAUCUUGAGAUUUUCCACAUCAUGCGAAAUUCUAUCAACACUUCUAGAAAAAUCAUCAAUCUUAUCCAGCUUUUCUUCCAUGGUAGUGUUGAAAACAUUGUGCGUAUUGAUAAAUUCUUUAAUAUUAUUAUCAAGAUCAGAGGUGUUCCUAUUAUUAUUGUAAGAUUGAUUUCCAUAGGAAUUACCAUAAUUAUUAGAGGAAUUACUAGGAAAAGGCCUAGGAUUAAAAUUACCUCUAUAAGCAUUGUUAUUGAAAUUAUUUCGAGAGAUAAAAUUCACAUCUACGGCAUCACUAUUUUGCUCAAUCAAAGUAGACAAAGGAAUAUCAUUAAAAUCAAUAGGAGCACUUUUACUAGCAACCAAUUUCAUAAGAACAUCAACUUUUUCACUCGAAGAAGAAAUUUCUUCAACCGAAUUAACUUUUUUACUAGUAGGAGCCCUUUCGGUAUGCCAUUGUGAAUAAUUUGCCAUGAUAUUAUCAAGCAAUUUGGUGGCUUCACCCAAAGUAAUUUCCAUAAAAGUACCACCCGCGGCGGAAUCUAAAAGAUUACGAGAAACAAAAUUCAAACCUGCAUAUAAAUUUUGUAUGAUCAUCCAAAGAUUUAACCCAUGAGUUGGGCAAUUCCUUUUCAUCCUUUCCCAAGAUUGUGCAACAUGCUGCUGUUCAACUUGCUUCAAAUUCAUGAUCUGGGUUCUAAGGGAAAUAAUUUUUGUGGGCGGAAAAUACUUAGUGAUAAAAGCAUCUUUGCACUUAUUCCAAGAAUCAAUACUAUUGCGAGGCAAAGAAGAGAACCAGUUUUUUGCAGAAUCACGCAAAGAAAACAAAAAUAAUUUCAUCUUAACCACAUCAUUGUCCACAUAUUUUUACUUUUGCAUAUCGCAUAAUUCCACGAAGGUAUUAAUAUGGGACGCGGAAUCCUUAUUAGGAGUACCGGAAAAUUGAUCUUUCAUAACAAGAUUCAGCAAAGCAGUAUUAAUAUCACAAGACUCCGCACUAGUGACGGGAGGAGCAAUCGGAGUGCCAAUAAAAUCAUUGUUGUUGCUAUUUGAGAAAUCACACAACUUGGUGUUCUCUUGAGUCAUGAUGACUUCACAACAAGAUUGCACUCAAAAAACAGAUCCGGCAAGAAAACAGUGAACGGAAAAAGAGGGGCGAAUAAAACGGCAAUUUUUUGUGAAGUGGGGGAGAGGAAAACGAGAUGCAAAUGGCAAAUAAUGUAUAUUGCGAGGAGAUGAGAUUUGUGAUUAGGAACCUGGUAUAUGUUGAAGGUCCUCUCCGGCAAUGGCGCCAGAAAUUCCUUUUGAUGUCGGCUAGGACUACGUCGGUAUUUCCCCAAAGAGGAAGGGAUGAUGCAGCAUAGCGACGGUAGGUAUUUCCCUCAAUGAAGAAACCAAGGUUAUCGAACCAGUAGGAGAACCAAGCAACACAACGUAAACAGCCCCUGCACACAGAUAACAAUUCCUCGCAACCCGAUGUGUAAAAGGGGUUGUCAAUCCCUUUCGGGUAGCGGCGCCCCAAGAUGGGCAAACAGACAUAAGGAAAUUGUAGUAGAUUGAUAGAUCGAACGCCAAACAAAAUAAAUAAGAAUAAAUUGCAGAAAGGUAUUUUUGUAUUUUUAGUUUAAUAGAUCUAAAAAUAAAUGCAAACGAAAAGUAGAUCGCAAAGGCAAAUAUAUGAGAAAGAGACCCGGGGGGCCGUAGGUUUCACUAGUGGCUUCUCUCGAGAAAAAUAGCAAACGGUGGGUAAACAAAUUACUGUUGGGCAAUUGAUAGAACUUCAAAUAGUCAUGACGAUAUCCAGGAAAUGAUCAUUAUAUAGGCAUCACAUCCAAGAUUAGUAGACCGACUCCUACCUGCAUCUACUACUAUUACUCCACACAUCGACCGCUAUCCAACAUGCAUCUAGUGUAUUAAGUUCAUGGAAAAAUAGAGUAAUGCAAUAAGAAUGAUGACAUGAUGUAGAAAAGAUCUAUCUAUGUAGAGAUAGACCCCAUCGUUUUAUCCUUAGUAGCAACGAUACAUACGUGUCGGUUCCCCUUCUGUCACUGGGAUCAAGCACCAUAAGAUCGAACCCACUACAAAGCACCUCUUCCCAUUGCAAAAUAAAUAGAUCAAGUUGGCCAAACAAAACCAAAAUAUCGGAGAAGAAAUACUAGGCUAUAAGCAAUCAUGCAUAAAAGAGAUCAAAGAAACCCAAAUACUUUCAUGGAUAUAAAAAGAUAUAACUGAUCAUAAACUCAAAGUUCAUCAGAUCCCAACAAACACACCGCAAAAGAGUGAUACGUCCAUUUUGCAUCAUGUUUUCUUACUGUUAUUUAUAAUGUUUUUAUCCAUAAUAAUGCUUUUUGGAGUAAUUCUAAUGCCUUUUCUCUCAUAAUUUGCAAGGUACACACCAAGAGCGAGAAUUCCGGUAGCUGGAAAUCUGGACCUGAAAAUGCUACGUUACGCCACAUAUUCUGCACAACUCCAAAUGAGCUGAAACUCCAUGAGGAUUUUUUAUGGAAUAUUUAAGAAAUACUGGAGCCAAUAAACACCAGAGGGGGGCCACCAGGUGGGCACAACCCACCUGGGCGCGCCAGGGGCGCGCCCUGGUGGGUUGUGGCCUCCUAGGCCCACCUCCGGUGCCCAUCUUCUGGUAUAUAAGUGAUUUUGACCUAGAGAAAAUAAGGGGAAGACUUUCGGGAUGGAGCGCCGCCGUCUCGAGGAGGAACUUGGGCAGGAGCACUUUUGCCCUCCAGCGGAGUGAUUCUGCCGGGGGAACUUCCCUCCCGGAGGGGGAAAUCAUCGUCAUCAUCAUCACCAACAACUCUCCCAUCUUGGGGAGGGCAAUCUCCAUCAACAUCUUCACCAGCACCAUCUCAUCUCAAACCCUAGUUCAUCUCUUGUAUUCAAUCUUGUUACCAGAACUAUAGAUUGUUGCUAGGGGGUGACUAGUAGUGUUGAUUACAUCUUGUAGUUGAUUACUAUAUGGUUUAUUUUGUGGAAGAUUAUACGUUCAGAUCCAUUAUGCAUAUUAAUGCCGCUCUGAUCAUGAGCAUGUUUAUUGUUUGUGAGUAAUUACUUUCAUUCUUGAGGUCACGGGAUAAAUCAUAUUGUAAGUAAUCAUGUGAAUUUGAUAUGUGUUCGAUAUUUUGAUGGUAUGUAUGUUCUGAUUCCCUUAGUGGUGUCAUGUGAACGUCGACUACAUGACACUUCACCAUAUUUGGGCCUAAGGGAAUGCUUUGUGGAGUAGUAAAUAGAUGGUGGGUUGCGAGAGUGACAGAAACUUAAACCCACUAGUACAGCGAGCUCCUAAACAAACGGUUUAAAACCCCUUUCCGUGACGGCAUUUGGAAUCGUCUCCAAGUGAGUGUGGGCGAUAGGGGGUCCUUCCCACACGACCCAGAAACCGUCGAGGAUAUGCCCUCCUAGCACACACGUUCGGCAAAAUGAGGUCAUGUGCGACCGGCGAGCGCUCAAAUACGGAAAUGCGUACAGUAGAGCUAAAAAAUACAAUUAUACGGCGAAAUUGUUUCUGGUCGCAAGUACAUCCCACACAGUCAGUCCCCGCUAAAUGUUUUCGUUUGUAUGUACAUCCCACACAGUCGCUCGAAGGAAAACGUUUCCGUUCACAGGUACAUCACACACAAUUUUUCCUGUUAAAUCGCUUGCAUUAUUGAAUAUAUCACACACGGUCCGUGGAAACUGUGUGGCAAAGGUUGUCCAUCACACACAGUUUUCAUGUGGUAAACGUUUGCGCAAGGUGGCCUAACGCAAAUAGUUUUCAAGAGAAAGUCGUGUGUGAUUGUUCAUUGAUCCAACACGGUUUGUUCCUAGAAACUGUGUGCGUUGCCUGAGGUCAUCGCCCACGGUAUUUUUUCAACAACCGUUUGCAAUAGCAAAACCCAAUUAGCAGGCUAAUUCGCCACUAGCAGGCUAGUUAUCCGAUUAUUCAUAAUCCAUUUAUUAAUCUAAUUGACAGUUCAUAUCAAUCACACAAUAUAUUUCAUUUUCAUAAUUGAAAUACAUCAGAGUACAGCAUCAUAUAGCUUCAGCACUCAGCUACCCCAUUGCACAACUACACCAGGACCAAGUUUCACAUGCAACAUCUAUAACCUUUCAAAAUUAGCAUCAUAGAUGGUACAUAGACAGAUGUAUCUCAUCUGGAAAACUGCUGAAGCAGAUGGCGAAUAUUGAGCCUUCAUUGAUGUUGAAGGUCUUUGUAACUUUAGGCCAGUGCCGGUGGAUGAUUGACCGUCGAUCCUUCGUCCUCCUCAGGAACACUUCAAUAUUGAACCAUGGGUGUUGUAUGAAUACCUUCCUCGCCUCCUGACCAUACAGGUGGUUUGAGAGGUAAUCAUCAGUGAACUGCUUUGGAAAGGCCUGAAAACAAGGAUGUGCAUAAAUAUCUUCUCUAACUUGGAAAUGGGGCAAAGGAAUUAAAAAGGCAAGGUAUAAUAGUUAGUACCAUCCUGUAGUGAACUGAUGUCUUCUUCAUUGUGCAGACAAAGAUCUUGUUGUUUUUUGUUGCUAAUUUGUUUAUCCUAACAAUCUUUCUGAGUUUCUUGACUUGACUGAUAUUCAUGGACAACUCAUUUCCCCAUAUGCAAAAAGGGUCAAACAGUGGGUCAAAACCUCUGACAGCAGGACCUACAUGUGUAAGACCAAAUUGUUAAAAACCUAAAUAUUAGAAUGGUUCCUGCAAUUGCACAAUAAUGUGCUAUUAGACAACAGACCAUGCACGUGCUAACCUCGAUUGUAAACCUCAGUGCUUCCCAUUGUUUCCUUGCAACACAUAUAAGGUAGUUAGUCAUCAAGUUAAGUAAGGUUCGCAUGCUAUCAGUAAAAUAUGUUGAUGAAAAAUAAUCACAUUGCAGAUUCAUCAGAUUAAUUCAAGCCACAGGGAAAACCCAUUUACCCAAACCAAGCAUGAUUAAGAACUAGGAAAUAUAGGACUUGUAUAUGUUUCUCAUGUAUUAAGUGCAGCCAAAUUCGAUUUAUUCCUCACAUGCACAACAAUACAAAAUUCGAUUUAUUUCUCACAUGGAAGACAAUACAAAAUUGCUGCCUGGAGAAUUGAACAUCACAUUUGCAUAAUUCAACCAAACAGUUAACUGAAGACGACAACUAAUUAACAAAACAGUUAAUAAGUGAGCACCACACUGCAUGACAUAUAGAACCUAUACACUAGAGCAACAGAUUGCAUGGUAAAAUUAGAUAGCACAAUUCACUAGAAUUUGUGAGGGAAAGGCAGGAGCAGCACAUGCAACGGGUAAAUCGAGCAUGCUUAACCGGCGUAGCUAGCAAAUGGCAAGGUGCUCCUUCAAGAUCUGGGGGACGGCACGAAUGGCAGCCAUGGCGACCUCAUCCGCGCGUGCGGCCGCGAUUUGCUUCUCCGCUGCCAAAUGCUCCUUCAGGUCCUGGCUAUACUACGUGCACCAUGGCUUAGGCCGGCGCUUAUUUGGUGGAGGGGUCGGUGGUUUGGGUGGAAGGUGUCGUGCUCGUGCCGGCGGUAGGGGCAUGUGGGAUGUGGAAGGAGGAGGAGGGUGGGGGUCGGGUGUGGAUUACCUGCCUGGAUAGGCGAGGCCGAGGAGCUCCAAGGAGGGUCGCCGGCGAGGAGGCGGCGGUGCUGGAAGCAAGGAGUGAAGGUUUCAAUUUGGAAAGGAAGGCGGAAAGAGGGGAAAUGUGGCUUUUGGUAAGGGGGAGGGGGCGGGGAGGUAGAUAUUUCCGCGAAAGCCGAAAAUUUGGAAUCGCUUUAGCCAAAAAACUGCCGCGCAAAGUGUCAUCAGACACGGUCCCUUAUUCAGAACUGUGUACGAUAUGUGAACAUCACAAACGAUUCAGAUAGCUUAACCCGUGUGUGUUGAGUUUGAACGUCAAAAAUUUUGGUUCGAAUUUCCCUGGUUACAGUGGUCAUCCACGUCAUUGCAUAAUUUGGGUACACAAAGGAGACUAACUUCUUAAUCGAGCAAGUUCAGCAAUUAAAUAGAGCUAGCUGACCUAAACAUUACUCUAACAAAUUAAAGACCGGCACUCUUAGUUACACAAAACAAAGAGUACUACUACGACUGGUGCUCGUCGAUCUCCGCCGCCGCCUCCAUGUCCAUCUCGCGUCCGACGGUCUCCUGGGGAAGGGGCUCCAUGGCAUCAAUUGCACCAUACUCGGAAGCAUCUCGCCAUCCGCGUCCGCCAUAUCUUUGGAAAAGGCCGCCACGAGCUGGGCGUGGGCGGACGCCAUGUGGGCUCUGGUGGGCUCCGUCGUGGCAAGGUAUGCCGCGCAGGAACAGGCGGCUGCUCGAACGCUCUCGGCGAUUGCGAGCUCUUCGGCUGUGGGUUGCCGACCGUUGUCGGAGAAGCUUCGUUUGAUUUGUGCGGUGACCGCCACGACCUGGGUGUGGACGGCCUCGACAUGGUAGUGGGUGGCCUCCAGCAGGGCUAAGGCCGCCGCUGUGAAACGGACAGCUGCUGUGCCGCUCUCGCCAGUUGCUAUCCCCGAGGCAGAUGCUGCCGCCACCUGAGAAGCAACAGCGGCCGUUUGGGCUACCUUGGCCGCCCGAACGCAGACUGCGGUCGCCCUCACGAAGCUUGUUAGCACGCGCCUGGCGGCUGCGGCCGCGCUCUCGCCAGAGUGGGCCGCCGAAGUUGCCCACAUGACGUGGGUCCACGUCCCCAUCUUUCACCGGCGACGCAUGAACAGUGAAAUGAUAUUUUGGGAGUGAGCUAGCUAGUGUGCUUGACACGCGGGCUGUGGACUGUAGCCGACGUACCUUCUCUCGUAAGGCAUGGGCGUACUAUAAACCGACGGUGCUCCAUGAUAUUUUGUGCUGCAUCUCACACGGUUGGUGAUAAUAAACUGUGUGUGAUCUACUUUAUUUAUCGUCUUAAUCAUUUGAAUUACGUAAUGGGGUCACAGCUACAAAGGAUGGUGUUUGAAUUGUUAGAACUUUUAUCUGCAGUGAACAUGCAACUAUAGGUCUGUCGUCAAAAAAAUUGGAAGUAUUCAGGGUUCGUUUGUACAUUUUUAUACAUUAACUGGGUUUUCCAGGCAUUUUAUGCGCAUAAUUCAAAUUUGAACUACAUGCACAUGCUCAAGUGCAUAUAAACUUAUUGAAAAAUCAAAUAUGUGUCCUUGGUUGCACGCUUAGGUCCCAUGCAACAAACGGGAAUGAAUUUCAAACACCCUGCCACCGUCACUCGGCCACAAACAUUGAGAUACCUGGUUUUUAAAUUCUAGUAAAUCCAAAACUCGUCUGAACUUCAUGAAACUUGGCAUGAUAUCAUGUAGCGGCAUCAACAUGCCGUGGUAAAAAAUUUGUCCCAUUUGGGGCACGUUUGGGUAUAUGCUUCUCACAAACCGGAGCUUCUCACAACAAGCAUGAUGGUUCUCGGGAGGGAACGUCCCAUCUUUUGGGAUGAAAUGAUAUCCAUUGCCUCUUAUUGCUUUCAAUUUUUUUUCUCGUGUCAACAUAGAUACAUGAGUGUUGUGUGAAUUUUUGUGAUUUUUCGGGGUUCGUUUGGACAUUUUUAUGCAUUAACUGAGUUUUCAAUGCAUUUAUGUGCAUAAUUCAAAUUUGAACUACAUGCACAUGCUCUAGUGCAUAUAAAUUGGUUGAAAAAUCAAAUCUGUGUCCUAGGGUGCAUGCUUAGGUCCCAUGCAAGAAAUGGGAAUGAAUUUUGAACACUAGGGCAUCGUUGAUUGUCGGCAAAACAUUGAGAUGCCUGGUUUUUAAAUUCUAGUAAAUCCAAAACUCGUUUGAAAUUCAGGAAACUUGGCAUGCUAUCAUGGAGCGGCAUCAACAUGCCAUGGGAAAAACUUUGUCCCAUUUGGGGCAGGUUUGGGUAUAUGCUUCUCACAAACCGGAGCUUCUCACAACAAGCAUGAUGGUUUUCGGUAGGGAACAUCCCACCUUUCGGGACGAAACGAUAUCCAUUGCCUCUUAUUGCUUUCAAACUUUUUUCUCGUGUCAACAUAGAACAACAGGAGUGUUGUGUGAAUUUUUGUGAUUUUUUGGGGUUCGUUUGGACAUUUUUAUGCAUUAACUGAGUUUCAAUGCAUUUAUGUGCAUAAUUCAAAUUUGAACUACAUGCACAUGCUCCAGUGCAUAUAAAUUGGUUGAAAAUCAAAUAUGUGUCCUAGGGUGCAUGCUUAGGUCCCAUGCAAGAAAUGGAAAUGAAUUUCGAACACCAGGGCACCGUUGAUUGCCGGCAAAACAUUGAGAUGCCUGGUUUUUAAAUUCUAGUAAAUCCAAAACUCGUCUGAAAUUCAUGAAACUUCGGAUGCUAUGAUGGAGCGACAUCAACAUGUCGUGGUACAAAUUUUGUCCCAUUUGGGACAGGUUUGGGUAUAUGCUUCUCACAAACAGGAGCUUCUCACAACAAGCAUGAUGGUUUUCGGUAGGGUACGUCCCACCUUUGGGGACGAAGCGAUAUCCAUUGCCUGUUAUUGCUUUCAAUUUUUUUCUCGUGUCAACAUAGAACAACAUGAGUGUUGUGUGAAUUUUUGUGAUUUUUCGGGGUUCGUUUGGACAUUUUUAUGCAUUAACUGAGUUUUCAAUGCAUUUAUGUGCAUAAUUCAAAUUUGAACUACAUGCACAUGCCCCGAUGCAUAUAAUGUUGGAAAUAUGCCCUAGAGGCAAUAAUAAAAUGGUUAUUAUUGUAUUUCCUUGUUCAUGAUAAUUGUCUGUUGUUCAUGCUAUAAUUGUAUUAACUAGAAACCGUAAUACAUGUGUGAAUACAUAGACCACAACAUGUCCCUAGUAAGCCUCUAGUUGACUAGCUCGUUGAUCAAUAGAUGGUUAUGGUUUCCUGACCAUGGACAUUGGAUGUCAUUGAUAACGGGAUCACAUCAUUAGGAGAAUGAUGUGAUGGACAAGACCCAAUCCUAAGCAUAGCACAAGAUCGUGUAGUUCGUUUGCUAGAGCUUUUCUAAUGUCAAGUAUCAUUUCCUUAGACCAUGAGAUUGUGCAACUCCUGUAUACCGUAGGAAUGCUUUGGGUGUACCAAACGUCAAAACGUAACUGGGUGGCUAUAAAGGUGCACUACAGGUAUCUCCAAAAGUGUCUGUUGGGUUGGCACGAAUCGAGACUGGGAUUUGUCACUCCGUAUGACGGAGAGGUAUCUCUGGGCCCACUCGGUAAUGCAUCAUCAUAAUGAGCUCAAUGUGACUAAGGGGUUAGCCACGGGAUCAUGCGUUACGGUAAGAAUAAAGUGACUUGCCGGUAACGAGAUUGAACAAGGUAUUGGGAUACCGACGAUCGAAUCUCGGGCAAGUAACAUACCGAUUGACAAAGGGAAUUGUAUACGGGAUUGAUUGAAUCCUCGACAUCGUGGUUCAUCCGAUGAGAUCAUCGUGGAACAUGUGGGAUCCAACAUGGGUAUCCAGAUCCCGCUGUUGGUUAUUGACCGGAGAGUCGUCUCGGUCAUGUCUGCAUGUCUCCCGAACCCGUAGGGUCUACACACUUAACGUUCGGUGACGCUAGAGUUGUAGAGAUAUUAGUAUGCGGUUAACCGAAAGUUGUUCGAAGUCCCGGAUGAGAUCCCGGACGUCACGAGGAGUUCCAGAAUGGUCCGGAGGUAAAGAUUUAUAUAUGGGAAGUCUUAUUUUGGCCACCGGAAAAUGUUCGGGAUUUUUCGGUAUUGUACCGGGAAGGUUCUAGAAGGUUCCGAAGUGGGGCCCACCUGCAUGGGGGGACCCACAUGAACGUGGGUAGUGGGGGCAAGGCCCCACACCCCUGGUCAAGGCGCACCAAGAUCCCAUCUUAGAAGGAAUAAGAUCAUAUCCCGAAGGGAUAAGAUCAAGAUCCCUAAAAAGGGGGGAUAACAAUCGGUGGGGAAGGGAAAUGAUGGGAUUUCUUUCCCCCACCUUUGCCAACGCCCCAAUGGACUUGGAGGGCAAGAAACCAGCCCCCUCCACCCCUAUAUAUAGUGGGGAGGCGCAUGGGAGCAGCACCUCAAGCCCUGGCGCCUCCCUCCCUCCCGUGACACCUCUUCCUCCCCGCUUGCGCUUGGCGAAGCCCUGCCGGGAUCCCGCUACUUCCACCACCACGCCGUCGUGCUGCUGGAUCUCCAUCAACUUCUCCUCCCUCCUUCCUGGAUCAAGAAGGAGGAGACGUCCCCGCUCCGUACGUGUGUUGAACGCGAAGGUGUCGUCCGUUCGGCGCUAGGAUCAUCGGUGAUUUGGAUCACGACGAGUACGAUUCCAUCAACCCCGUUCUCUUGAACGCUUCCGCUCACGAUCUACAAGGGUAUGUAGAUGCACUCCUCCCCUCUCGUUGCUAGAAUCUCCUAGAUUGAUCUUGGUGACACGUAGGAAAAUUUUGAAUUUCUGCUACGUUCACCAACAUAUAAAUCUGUUGAAAAAUCAAAUAUGUGUCCUAGGGUGCAUGCUUAGGUCCCAUGCAAGAAAUGGGAAUGAAUUUCAAACACCAGGGCACCGUUGAUUGUCAGCAAAACAUUGAGAUGCCUGGUUUUUAAAUUCUAGUAAAUCCAAAACUCGUCUGAAAUUCAUGAAACUUGGCAUGCUACCAUGGAGCGGCAUCAACAUGCCGUGGUACAAAUUUUGUACCAUUUGGGGCAGGUUUGGGUAUAUGCUUCUCACAAAUCGGAGCUUCUCACAACAAGCAUGAUGGUUUUCGGUAGGGAACGUCCCACCUUUGGGGACGGAGCGAUAUCCAUUGCCUCUUAUUGCUUUCAAAUUUUUUCUCAUGUCAACAUAGAACAACAGGAGUGUUGUGUGAAUUUUUGUGAUUUUUCGGGGUUCGUUUGGACAUUUUUAUGCAUUAACUGAGUUUUUAAUGCAUUUAUGUGCAUAAUUCAAAUUUGAACUACAUGCACAUGCUCCAGUGCAUAUAAAGAUUGAAAAAUCAAAUAUGUGUCCUUGGGUGCAUGCUUAGGUCCCAUGCAAGAAAUGGGAUUGAAUUUCAAACACCAGGGCACCGUUGAUUGCCGACAAAACAUUGAGAUGCCUAGUUUUUAAAUUCCAGUAAAUCCAAAAUGUUGUUAACCAUUCACGUGACGCCAUGUGUCUUGGUUUUAAUGGCUGUAGGAGGUGCCGUGCGGACAACUGCUUGACCUUGACUGAAAUGUGCCGAGCAGUAUUUCUGCAGCUCUUGAUCGCAAACGAUUUUUGUACACCCGUAUGCAAAGUGAGAGCAGCGCAUGAUUUGUGCAUCCCUUCAACGCAAACGGUUGUUCUAGAUGACCCGUGUGCAACCACGUACAAACAAUUUGGUAAGAUUUACAUCUAUCAUAUUUGGUAUGUUGCCAUUUGUCAAACUGGAAAGAUUUACAUUUGUUGAUCUAGUAACGUUGCCAUUUGUCAAUCCUUGUAACACUACGAUUUGUCAAAAUAUGCAGUUGGAAAUCAUUAGCACUAUGUAAUUUUUUCAACUAAAAUUCAGUAAUUAAGCAUAGAUUUCAUUCAUAGAUUAAGCAGUCAUUCUUAAUUUAUACAAACAGUUCAACUCGACAGCUGAACCGAUCAAACUUCUCCCCAAUUGUUGCCAACCACGUACUGAAAUAGCUAGUUCAACUAUAUACACUAGCUAAUUUUAAGUACGUUUUACAGUUCGACCACACAUCUAUAGUCAGAUGAACUGAACAAAAUAGCCCCUAAAUACUACUACUACCACAGAGGGGCUUUGUGCUACUUCCGGCAGCCUCUCCUCUGCCGAGCGCGCUAAGUGAGAGGCAGAGGAAGAGGAGGAGGAGCCUCCCGACGAGCCGGAGAAAUGCAAUACGGUGCCUGCCGCUUUUGCACGUUCAGCGAAGGUCUCCAGCUCGAACACCCACUGCCGCUCCAGACGAUCCCUCUUGAAGUGGACGGACUGCUCGUAGAUCUCCUGAUUCCUCGCCUCUGCGUCGACGUGUGCUGCGGCCACGACUGCAGUAAGGCUCUUUGCAUGCUCGACGAGGCGCUCCUCCUCCUCCCGCAGGAACUUGAUGUAGCGCGCAAGGUCGCUGGCGCACGUGCGGUCCUCCACCUCCGCCUCCCUCCUUCGGGCGGCGGUGGCGGAGCGGGUGAUGAUCCCGGCGGUCGACGGUGGGCUGGCGGCCACGGUGGCCGAUGAUAAGCCACGACCACCACCUCCCGCCUUCGGGCCGCGGUGGCUGAGUGGGUGAUGGCCACGGUGGCCGGCAGUGGGGUGGAGGCCACGACGGCCACCUCCCGCCUUCGGGCCGCGGCGGCGGAGCGGGAGAUGGCCCUGGAUUUCGACGGUGGUGUGGCGGCAACGGCGGGCGGCAACAGCUGCCGACGGGCAGCGGCGGCGGAGCGUGUGGUGGGUGCUCUGCGCACACCCAACAGGGACGCCAUGCGCACAACACUAUGCCAGGGACUGCGCCGCCGCCGCGGUGUAGCCUCCCAACUGGAGCUGUCCUCUGAUGACGGCGGAGUGGCUGAGCGACGACGACGGACCGGUGCCAUUGGCGAUUGUGGGAGAAGCAGACGAGAUAAGCUACAGGGAGGGAAGGAGGGGAAAAUGCGACACAGGACUCGCCGGCCGUGACGGUUUUUAUAGCAGGCCGGUAAGCAUUGGGAUUUUGGGGGAUUUCACCGAGUCGGGCGGGAAGCUUGCGCGGGAACGGGCUCACCGACGAUUCAUUGGCGCCACCGUUUGGCCAAAAGAACGCCCCCGCGCGCUGCGCAAGCUUGCGUUGUAAGCCGUCUGCGGCAGCGGGGUGACAAGACGUGUGAGAGGAGGACGAGAGGACACGUACACAUAUAGUUAAUAAAAAAAUGUUUGCGAUUUAAUUACCUACUAUACCCCGUCCUGGUUUAUAAGUAGGAUUUAACUAAUAAAAUACGAAUGCAUGUCGCCAUAGAUUAUAUCGUUGGAGUCAUAUUUGAACAUAGUUUCCAGCUAUAAAUUUUUUGUAAUAUGCAUUAACACUUUUUUGGUUAAAUUUAAGGUUAUACACCAGCAGGCGUUUGCCCACAACACACACGGCUUAUUCCAUCACAAACAGCUCUGAUGGAUCAACUGUCUGCCACGUAUCGCACACGCAACUCUAAUAUGAUUCGUGCUUGAUGUCUCCUACAUCGCUCGCAUAGUUCGUCUUGUUUGCCACGUAUCACUAUGCCGUCCUCUGCUUGCGUCCCUCGGCAAGCUCUGCUCGCUGUUAGGCGCCGCAGCGCGCUGUGCUCACCAUUAGGCGCCGCGACGCGCUUUGUCGCGUCCGUUGGCGCGCUCUGCUCGCGUCUGUCGGCGCGCUCGGCUUGUGGACAACUUUUCCUUGAGGCGACCGCACAGCGCUCUGCCAGCGGUUGGGCAUGCGCACGAUCAUGUCGAGGGGGCCAUAUGCAUGCGAUUGCGCCGCGCGCGUUGCCACUCGAUGUAGUUACGUGUGGCACGAUGGAGUUACGCGCUGCAAAUUAGAACUGCCAUCAGGGCCUGCCAAUAUUCCUGGCCGUCCGGCUUCCCCUUUAAUUCCUGCGGCCAUUAUAACCUUAGUGUCUUCAACCUUUCGAUCGCGCCCCACAACACAACAAGCACACCCACGACGACACAUAGAGAAGGGAUGUCCGGCGGCGCUCCAAUGGAGUUCGACGAGCAUAGAGUGGAGACCCACACGAGGAAGACAGAUCUCUCGGUGGUGUAAACCAUUGACCCGGCCGUGGUGGACGACUACAUCAACAGCGUUGAGCAGUUGCUUGCUGGAGACAAGUACAAGGUGGUCGGCAUCGACCUCCAAUACACCGUCGGUCGUCCCGGCAUAGAUCAGAAGGUUGCCGUUGCCCAGUUGUGCGUGCGCCAUCAUGUCCUCAUCUACCUCUACUGCAUGGCCACAGAGCCUUGCGACCGUUUCAACAGUUUUGUCGACAACACCGACUACAAGUUCGCCACGGUGGAUACCAAAGACGAUGUAAAAGCGCUCAGUGUUACGGGCUUGGCCUGCAAGAACCUUGUCGAAAUCCGUGACCACUACAGGGUCUGGGGCAGCAUGAAGCAGGACUCCCUGGUCGAACUCGCCUCGGCCAUCAUCGACCCCUACUACGAAAAGAUGAAGCAAGAUGCCCAGAGAACAAGUCCCGUAUCCUGGCACAAGGCCUAGAUGCGGCAACUGGAUGAACCUCACCUCAGGUUCGCGGCCAAGAGCGUGUACACAUGCUAUGAGAUGCACAGGCGGAUUGUUGACAUGAGGAAGUGCCUCGUUACCCAAAUCGACGAGCCCGGAUCGAGCCACAAGAAGAGCAAGCUUCACAAGAAGUAGAUGAUGAUCAGAUGAUCGUUUAUGCUAGUUAAUCAUGCAUGUAAUAUAGAGUUUACUUUAUUGGUGUGUGUAGAAAUGUCAUGUGUGUAGUAGCCACCUAUGUAAUUAUGCAUGCAAUAGUUUACUUUGGUGUGCGCAAAUGCCAUGGUUGUAGUAGCCACCUAUGUAAGUGGAUGUUUAAUUUGGUUAUGCAAGCAUGUCCUUAUAAGUGUGUGUGUAUGUAUAUAUGUUGUUGUUCUAUAUGCAAUCCCAUCGCACAACACACACGUCUUAUUAGUAGCAACCGUCUGUGUUCUUAUCGGUCUUCAGACACAUUUCUGAUUACAGACCUGCUUGCCGCGUAUCACACACAUCUUGUUAAGUUGAACUGUUUCUGUUCUCAUGUCUCAAUGCAAACAGUUCAUCCAAGUGAACCGCAUGUCGUAUAUCGCACACACCUUUGAUCUGGCUGACUGUUUCUUUUGUGUUGCCUAAUCACAAAAAGUUCAUCCGAGUGAACCGUAUGCUGUGUAUCGCACACGCCUCCAUCUGGCUGCCCGUUUCUUUGGUUACCCCUCAUCGCAAGCAGUUCAUUGAACUGAACCGUAUGCCCUUCAUCGCACACGCAACUAAAACCUGAACCGUGUUUGAUGCAUCCGUCAUCGCAAACAUUUUACACAUUUUUGGCGGUUUUCAUACAGCACCGUUUGCGAUUAUGGCAUCGCACAUAGUUUCUCGAAGGGUCUCUGAUUGUAGUGUCGCGUUAGCAGCAUCCUGCAGUAGUGACCCCAGAUUAUGCACUAUUAUGUAAGGGCCCGAUUGGAUCCUAGAGUUUAAUGCUAUGGUUAGAAUUUAUUCUUAAUACUUUUCUCGUAGUUGCGGAUGCUUGCGGGAGGGUUAAUCAUAAGUAGGAGGUUUGUUCAAGUAAGAACAGCACCUAAGCACCGGUCCACCCACAUAUCAAAUUAUCAAAGUAGCAAACACAAAUCAAACCAACAUGAUAAAAGUGACUAGAUGAAAUUCCUGUGUACCCUCAAGAACGCUUCUCUUAUCAUAAGAGACCGUUUUCGCCUGUCCUUUGCCUCAAAAGGAUUGGGCUACCUUGCUGCAUACUUGUUAUUAUUAUCGUUACUUGCUCGUUACAAAUUAUCUUGCUAUCAAACUACCCUGCUACUUACAAUUUCAGCACUUGCAGACAUUACCUUACUGAAAACUACUUGUCAUUUUCUUCUGCUCCUCGUUGGGUUCGACACUCUUACUUAUCGAAAAGAGCUAAAAUUGAUCCCCUAUACUUGUGGGUCAUCAAGGCUAUUUUAUGGCGCUGUUUCCGGGGAGUGAAGCGCCUUUGGUAAGUGGAAUUCGGUAAGGAAACAUUCAUAUAGUGUGCUGAAAUUUAUUGUCACUUGUUACCAUGGAAAACAAUCCUUUGAGGGGUUUGUUCGGGGUAUCUUCACCCCAUCUGGAACCACAAUUAAUUUCCCCUCAACCUACUACACCUACUGAAAAUAUUGAAUAAGAAAUUCCUUCGGGUAUGAUAGAACAACUGCUAGCUAAUCCUUAUGUAGGAGAUUGAAUAGAACAUCCUGAUAUGCACUUGAUAUUUGUAGAACAAAUUUGUGGAUUGUUCAAGCUUGCAGGUUUACCGGGAGAUGAGGUGAAGAGAAAGGUUUUCCGUUUAUCUUUGAAGGGAAAAGCAUUGGCAUGGUAUAGGCUAUACAAUGAUAUUGGAUCAUGGAAUUGGAAUCGUUUAAAAUUGGAGUUUCACCAAAAAAAAAUA